AUUUUUUUUUUAUUUUUUUUUUAUGAAAUUUAAAUAAAAUAAUUAUGUAUACAUCAGAUGAAAUUUUUCGGGUCUUAUCAACACAUAGAAUGAAAAAAAGAGAAAUGCACAAUGUGAGAACUUGAUGUUUAACUUGUUACGUGCAUUCAUGACUACAAUGAAUGUUUUGUGCUUGCAAAAACCUUGUGGCACUCUCUAUUGUACUUCGUGGACGUUGGAGGAGGAGUUAUUCGGACUUUAUCAUGCUAUAUUGUGGGUGUCAGAUCUUCAGGUAUAUAACAUGGAUUUUUUUUUUAAGAAACUAAAAUGAAAUAUAUUAACACACCCGAGGUCUUCCUAGCACAAGGUGUGCAAAGGAAUAAAAACCUCAAAAGAAGAACAAAGUAAGAAUGUUACAAAACUCCAGAUUGCGAGCACCACAAACCAAAACAAAACAAAACAACACCAAUCUGCCCUUAGCCUAUGCCUAGUAAAGUAAACGGACUAAGCCACCAACCAUGAUAAUUAAAGGGAAGAGUUACAAACUUCACAUUUAACCACUUGAAAGUCAACAAUUUAAUCUUGUCCACCACCUGUAUAACAGAACUAACCUUUGCAUUAAAAAUCCUAUUAUUUCUUUCCUUCCAAAUCUCCCACAUUGUUGCAAACCAAAUCACCUGUAGAAUAGAUUGCUUGGACUUAGAGACACCACCUAAAAGACUGAAUUGAAUAAAGUGCCCUUGAACAUCAUUAGGCAUAACUGUAAUAACGCCUAACCAAUUAACAAUUACAUUCCAAACCGAACCAGAAAAAAUACAGUGAAGAAAUAAAUGAUUGGAUGUUUCAAGAAAACCCCAAUCAGCAGCACAAAAUUGAGCUUCAACAUCUAAAACUUGAUGCUUGUGAAGAUUAACCUUCGUAGGCAACCGAUCACGAAACAAACGCCACACAAAAAGCACCACCUUCAACGGGACGUCCUUGUGCCAAAAAGAAGGCAUUUCUGACACCUGGUCUAACGGGGUCUGAGCUAGAAUCAUUUUGUAAGCACUCUGAACUGUGUAAGAAGAAGAAGAAUCAGCCUUCUAAAGCCACCUGUCCUUUUGAUGUGCCUGUAAAGAAACAUUGUGAAGUAAAAGCCUAAGCUCCACCACCGACUCCUCCUCCCACACGAACAACCGACGCCUCCACCUCCACGCCUCACCCUCCUCAUCCCAUCCUAAAGCUCUCAUUGCUGCCACAGAUUCUCCCUUAAAUAAAGAUAACUCAUACAGCCUACUAAACCUAUCACGUAACGACAACUCUCCAAACCAAAUAUCAGUCCAAAAUAAAACAUUGUUACCAUCACCCAACAAACGACUAACAUUAUUACAAAACCAACCCUCCGAACGUAAACCCGCUAUGUUCCGCCACCAAGCAGAGCCGUCUCUCCCUCCAACUCUCAACAAACCGUCCUCCAACCCAUUUCGCGCCACCAACACCUAAACCAUAAGCUAUCCCUAUCUACCAACACCCGCCAACACCACUUCCCUAACAAUGCUAAAUUAAACUCUUUUAUUCUCCUAACCCCCAAACCUCCAACCUCCUGACUCCGACAAACAGAUUUCCAGUCUACCCAAAUAAUUUUGCGGUGAUCUGCACUCCCCCCCCCCCCCCCCCAAAAAAAAAAAAAAUUAUUAAAAAUAGAUUCAAUAGAGGAAACAAUACCUGACGGAGCCUUGAAAAAACAAAGAGCAUAAACAGGAAGGGACGAUAGGACAAACUUCAGUAAAACCAGACGGCCACCCAAAGACAAGUGUUUCGACUUCCAACCCGACAAUCUAGAGUUAAUACGAUUAAUGAGAGGUUUCCAAAACACCAACCGACUAGCAUUCCCUCCAAUAGGCAACCCGAGAUACAUGAAAGGAAUAGAACCAACCUUACAAUUCAAAACCAACGAUGCUUCAGCCAACCAAGAACCCGGAACAUGAACCCCCUACCAAAAGGCUCUUAGAAAAAUUGACCUUAAGACCAGAGAGUUCUUCAAAAAUCAAUAAAAUAGCGCGCAAAGCACGGAUAUUAGCCCACGAUUUUUCGCAUAAAAUUAAAGUAUCGUCCGCAAAUUGCAGAUGGGACACCAACAAAGGGUCAUGACUACCCACACUAUAGCCAUGAAAAAGCCUUUUAGCAACCAUAGCCUCCAUAAGCACGUUGAAACCUUCAGCCACCAAGAGAAACAAGAAAGGUGACAGGGGAUCCCCUUGCCUCAACCCCCUUCCUAAAGAGAACUCAUUUGUUGGAGAGCCAUUGACCAACACCGAGGCUGUAGCGGUCCCCACACACUCUUUAAUCCAUUUACGCCAAAGUGUUGGGAACCCCAUCUUCACCAUCACUUCCUCCAAAAAAGACCAAUCAAUGGAGUCGUAAGCUUUCUCAAAAUCAACCUUAAAAAGAAGCAAUUCCUUUUUACGUUUGUAAGCAUCAUCAACAACUUCAUUUGCAAUCAAUAUCCCAUCAAGAAUCUGGCGACCUUUAAUGAAAGCCGACUGAGCGUCAGAAAUAACAGAGCCAAUGACCAAACGAAGUCUAUUUGCAAGGACCUUCGCCAAAAUCUUAUACAUACUACCAACCAAUGAAAUGGGCCGAAAAUCAUUAAGACUUUGAGGAUUAUCCACCUUAGGAAUAAGUGCAAUGAAUGUACUAUUUAUCCCUUUAGCCAACUUCCCAUUUCUAUGAAAUUCCACCAAAAAACGCAUCACAUCACCCUUCAACAAAUCCCAAAAAUCUUUUAAGAAACCAAAAGAAAUACCAUCAGGCCCAGGGCUUUUAAAACUUUCGCAAUCCCACACAGCAUUCUUCACCUCCACAACAGUAAAAAGCUUGAUCAAAUCUAACCCCUCGCGAACAGCAAGAGAUCGAAAAACUAAACCAUCCAUACGUGGCCGAUGAACUCUACGAGCUUGAUAAUGAGAAGAAAAAUGUUCAAACACCGCUGCCCUAACAUCUUGAACCCCUUCCACUAAAACACCGUUGACCAAAAAGAAUGGGAUAGUAUUCCGGCGUCUCCGAGAAGACAUAAUAUUAUGAAAGAAUUUAGAAUUAGCAUCCCCUUCACAUAACCAUUGCAGACGAGAUUGUUGCCAACAAAUACUAGAAUUAACCCUAGAAAGAGCGGACACUUCCUCAGAGAGACCAUGCAGUUCGGCAAUUUCAUCCUCCAACAAAGACGAAGACUCUCCCUUCACUUCAAUAAACCCAAUACGAUCCUUCAACACCGAUAUCCUAGCUGGUAAAUUAUUCGUGUGAGUCCUAUGCCACACCGAUAAGUCCCUUUUAAUCAACUUUAGUUUUUCUCUCAACACGAAACCGCCCCAACCUUCAAACUGAUACGAAUUCCAGGUCUCACAAACAAAAGAUUUAUAACCAGUGAAUUUCUCCCAACAUUUUAACAUACGAACCGGUUUUGGCCCCCAAUUUGCAUCAUCAACACACAACAUGAGAGGACAAUGAUCUGACAAACCUCUCGACGUAGCCAUCUGAAAACAAUUAGGCCACGACAAACUCCAAUUUUCUGACAGCAAGAACCUAUCAAUCUGACUCAUCGACCUCCCAUCACCUCGAUACCAAGUGAACCUACGACCCCGAAGCGGUAAAUCUAUAAGGCCGUUAUCAUCAAUCAUAGCAUUAAAACUUGCACUACCAGCAUAGUUCACAGCGUUGCCCACUCUUCUUCGUUCCUCGGGACAUCGAACCGCAUUAAAGUCUCCACACACACAAACAUUCUCGUCCAACAGCGACGUCAAACGAGCUGAAAUAUUUUGCCAAAGAGAUUGUUGUCGGUUAACAUCACACGGGGCAUACACAUUUAGAAUAGUAAACUUGUCACCCGUCUUCACAAACUGGCCUUGAAUUCCUAACACAUGAUCAAAAUUAAACGAAGACCACACCACAACCUCUUCACAAUUCCAAAGAGUUAUUAAACCUCCUGAAGCCCCACUCGAAGGUUGAUAAGAAAAAUCAACACGGUUAUCAGUCCAUAGGCCUUUACACACAAAAUCAUUUACAACAGAUAAUUUAGAUUCUUGUAAACAUAAGAUAAACGGAUUUUUCUCCCUCACCAAGUUACUCACUUCCCUUCUCUUUUCAAACCCACCCAAGCCCCUAACAUUCCAAGGAAUAAUCUUCAUUAACACUACCCACUCCACAACACCACAAACACCCUUACCUCCUCAUCCCAACCCUCGGCCUUACCUCUCUCCACCAUCAACCUCUUUAUUUUUUCUUCCAACACCUGACAACACAUCAAACCUAUUUUGAAUAUCCCCUUGAAAAUUCACCCCCACUAACUUUCCCAUCCCCCUAACAUCAUCCGAUAAAGCCUUGCUAUUACCAUGAAGUACUAACCAACUCGACCAGUCGUAAUUAACAGAUGACUGUGAAUCAUUAACAGAAGAGCUAACCGGCGAAUUUACCUUAUUAACAUGAGUAUCUGACACCACCUUAUGUCUCCUUUUCUUCUUGCGCAAGGCACGCAAAACAACCUUACGGUCUUCCUCUGAUAACCUCGCAAUACGCUUCAAAUUCAUUGCACAGUGCCGAAAAGAACUAUUACCCUUCUUUCUCGUGACUUUAAUAGCACUAGAAGUCUGUUUGUUAAAGUCUAAAAUUUCAACAGGUGCUGCAUCUCCAAUCACCAACUCCUUAUGUUGACGUGCCCAUUCCCAACUCCACGGACCUGCCGAUACAGUAUGGACCCGACUAGGAGGACAUGAAGACGUACGAUGCUUCUUCCUCUUAGCACCACUACAAGAAAUUCGAUCCAAAUCAGCUCGUGCGAUAUCAUCCUCCAAAACAACCUUGUUGUUAGCUUGUUGUAAAGGAACUGUUUGAGCUGCGCAAGGAUUUUGAGAGGAAACCUCCGUAACACCCUUCGACACCUCUUUAGUACCCACCACCGGACUCUCAACAAGUGAAGGAAAAUCGUUAAUAGGAAUAACCUUAUGAACCUGAAGGUCCUGCUGCUCCUUCUGCCAUUCCUCUGAUAGAUGCUUCAUCAAAUUAUCAACCUCACCAUCAACAUGUAAAUCCCCAAUAUUUCUCUCAUCCUCCAUAUCCUCCUCUUCUUUAACCUCCUCAUCCUCCGAUAAGCAAGCAUCUUCACCCAACGAAAACCCUCCCUCCUCCACAAUUUUAAGUUCAUAAAUAGCUCCAUCUAUCAUCACCUUUGCAUCUGAAAUAACUAAAUCCACAGAAGGCGUAGAAAUAAGAACCCGAGCAUAAUCAAACCGGAUUUUUUCCAGAGUGGAAUCAUCCAAUUUCAACAAACGACCAUAGUCAAAGACACAAAGUUUGAAAAAAUCCAAGUUCCACGCUUGUAACGGCACCCCAUAGAUCCUCACCCAAGCUCCUCUUUCGCGAACCACCAUAUCUUUCCUCCAGUUCAUAAUAUUAGAAAAAAAAUUUGCAAAAAAUUCCGAUGCUUCAGCCAACAAUAAGUUAACAUCACUAUCAUCUUCAGUUCUCAAUAAGACCUUAUCAGCUCCCAAAGGAAUUAUGUCUAAAUUCUCAAAGCCCGCAUCAAAAAUACGUCGCUGCAACACAGGGAUCGCAUCUCCAUUCAAAACCGUAGCAACCAUCCCCUACUAGCCCAUAAAACAUCCUGAUCCUUGGAGGUAUAUUUAGGAAUGUGGAUCUUCGCAGCCUCUCCCACAACCACCUUCGCACCAACCGGUUCUCUCACAUUCACCCUCUUCUCCACCCUUGCCUCAGCUUCUUCUCUACUAACCACCCCUCCUCUCGCAGCUACAUCUCCCUCAAGCCCCUUACUCCUCCCUUCACCUUGAGCCUCUCCGUCAACAACCUUCCUUCCCCCCAGCUCUCUUUUUUCUCCCUCUAAUUCUUUAUCUCCCUCAUUAAUUUUUUCUCCCUCUCCCCUAACACUGCCUUCACCCCUACCACCUCCAUUCCUACCAAAACUCGCCACCUUAGCCACCACCUUCCAAUCUCCAAACCAGACAUUGUUCAAAGCCUUCAAGAGCUUCUCUACAUCCUUCACUUUGCCAUAACGAACAAAACCAAACGCACCACCAUUAACAUUACGUUUACGUGCCAAGUAAACAUCCUCCAAUAUACCACAUACCUCAAAACCUUGUCUCAAUGAAACAUAUGAUAUAUCAAGAGGAAUAUUUGUAAAAUAGAAAGAAACAACAUUCUGGUUCACCUGCACUUUCUUCGCCUGUUCCUGAAUACUCACAGCUAAACGUUGUUUCUCAUCACGUGCCUGCACAUUAACUGAACCAGGAUCGUUCCUCACAGCCUUGUUGUUGUUUCUCAUAACAUGGAUUUUAUUCUUGACUCAAUGAAGGUGAUGAAUUAUUUACAGAAAGGAAGCAAUGUUAUUACUGAGUUUGAUAAAAUCAUGUAUGAAUGUAGACAUCAUUGUAAUUUUGCUUUUAAAAACUCUCUUGUCGAGUUUAGUCGGAGAAAAACCAAUCAAAUCGCUCAUGCCUUGGCACUGUGUAUUUGUGAAUUAAAAUCUAAUGAAAUACUACAAACAUUUCCUUAAAAAAAAAAAACUUGUUGGAAAUACGUUCAAUUAAUUAGUCAUUUUCUUUGAGGAUUAAAAAUCUGUUAAUGUAAUUAUUAAUGUUUUUGGUGUUAACAUCUCGUUUUAAGGAAAAACGAGUCAUUCAAAUAUAGUUCGACCAGAGGUAAGUAAAAUAUGAUCGAAAAUUAUUACAACUAAAAAUCAAACUCAAAUUCUGCUAAAUAAUUACAAUCACAAUUAACUAGACUAAGUCAAGCAUAAUUGCAAUUUUGGUGAAAUACACAUAACAAAAAUGCAAUAAGUCUACAAAUGAUUCUUAAACUCUAAUAAUUUAUAAUAAAAUUCACAAUUACCAACAAGUUUAGAGACCUUUGCACAAAUUAUUUUAAAAUAUACAAGCUCAAUUACACAUUAUUUAGAAAAGAGUCAUGCUAACUCUUCGUGUCUUAAGGAUACAAGUUAAAAAGCUAAAAAGAGAAUUAAAAUAUAACUUUUGUAUUGAAAAGAUAAAAUUUAAGAUUUUUAUACAUUGAAUGCACAAUUUUCAAGAAAAUAUUUCUAUGUUUAGUUUCUAAACUUAUGUCUCAAGAGCAUAAGUUAACAUUUCCUUUUAAAAAAUUAAGUACUCAACUAAAACCUUGUUCAUAAAUCUAACUAUAAAUUAUUUACUAAUUUAUUAACCUAAUUAUAAUUUUAUUUAGUUUAGAAACCAAUUUCAAAAUUAUUGAAUAGUUUUUUUUUUUUUGGUGGCCGGGUUUUGAAUCCUAGAUCUUGCAUAUAUUAUGCAUUGUUCAUACCAACCGAGCUAAGAUCACGAAAAUAAAUUAUUGAAUAGUUAAUAGACUUCUAAAGUAUUUAAAAAAUAAAUCCAUACCAACUAAGCUUAGGUCACGAAGACAAGUUAUUGAAUACUACCUCCGUCCCUAAUUAUAGGACCCUUUUAAAAAAAUAACGGGAAUUAAGAGAGUGAAUAUUUUUAUUAAAUAUGUUUGUAAUUACUAUUAUUUUUACAAUUUUAUCUUUUAAGAGAGUGUUGAUUUAUGUUUUCAACAUGUUAUUUAUUGUUGAUUGAAAAAAAAUGUAUAAUAAAUAAGGGCAUGUAUGUAAAGAAAUAAUUAAUGUAGUUGGAAAUAGAAAAUGAGUCUUAUAAAAAGGGACAAUUUUUUUUUCUUUCAAAACGGUCUUAUAAUUAGGGACGGAGGUAGUAAUUAAUAUUAUUGAGUAGUUAAUACAAGUAUUUAAAAAAUAAGUAAAGUUGAAAAAAUAAAAUAAAUUUGAAACCCAUUGCAAAGUACCAUAUUGCCCCCAUUGUGAUUGAUGAAAAACCAAAGAAACAAAGGGAUAAGAUAAGCCAAUAUGAAUCAAACCAACCCUUUUAUCCCAUUUUCAGUUUUCUUCAUCUUCCAUUUCCAUCAUCACCAUGGAAGCUACUGCAACUCUACUCAGCUUCUCUCUUCCAUCCACCAAAACCCAAUCUUUUCAAAUCCUAACCCGACCCAUUAACCCAUUCAACCCACCCACAUCAUACAAACAUAGACCCAUUUCCAAAACCCACCGUUUAUCCAUCAACGCCGCAAUUUCACGCACAAAGAAAGAAGAAACAGUUGAAACCGUAAAAGAACAACUUGAAAACUGUUACCUCCUCGCCGGAAUCAACUACAAAGGCUUCACCGUAAAACAAUUUCAAGAACUUCGAAAAACUCUUCCUGAAACAACGAAACUCGUUGUUGCGAAGAACACGUUGGUUUAUAAAGCACUUGAAGGAACACAAUGGGAGACGUUGAAGCCAUGUAUGACAGGUAUGAAUGUGUGGUUGUUUGUUCAUACUGAAGAGAUUCCCUCUGCUAUUAAGCCUUAUAGAGAUUUUCAGAAAGAGAAGAAGCUUGAAGAAAAUGAUUUUACUGGUGCUGUUUUUGAAGGGAAAUUUUAUGGUCCUGAUGAGUUUAAGAAACUUGAAACAUUGCCGACACGUGGCGAGAUUUAUGCUAAUUUGUUGGGUUCAUUGAAAAGUCCUUCUUCUGCUUUGGUUACUACCAUUCAAGCUCCUGCUAGAGAACUUAUUAUGGUUCUUAAGGCACAUAUUAAGAAGCUUGAAGAACAGGAACAGGGUAGUGCUGUUCUAUAGAUAAGUUUUUUCAAUCUUGUUUGUGUAUUUGUUUUAUGAUUUUAUAAUUAUGUUACAAUGUGGAUUUUGUUUUAUUGUAUUUGAGCAUGUUUAUUUAUGUUUAUGUUCCCUCAGAUUAUGUGUACAAUACAAGUGUACAUUUGAUGCUUUGAGCUUGUUGUAUCAGAAAAUGUAGAAUGAUGCAAUUAUUUUUUCUCUUAGGAUACUGAUGAUGGAUAAUUUGUUCCAAUUGAAUGAUGCAAUUUCACUAAUUAUUGGUUAUUGUAUUUGAGUAUGUUUGUUUAUGUUCCUUCAGAUUAUGUGUACAACUGUGCAUUUGAUGCUUUGAGCUUGUUGUAUCAGAAAUUGUCGAAUGGUUCAAUAUUUUUUUCUGUUAGUGUAGAGAUGAUUGAUGGAUAAUUUUGUUCCCAUUGAAUGAUGCAAUUUCACUAAUUAUUGGUUAUUAUGUGCAUGUACCAUUUUGAUGUUGUGUUUUUUCCCUUUGUUUAUUUGAGUGUUAUAUUUUGGAGACUUCGUUCAACUUGAAGUGUUUGUCAUUUAUACCGAGUCUCAGAAUUUGGGUUGGGAUUAACUUAAGCCUUACAAAACCAACUUUUCGGUCAUAUUUUAUCCAACGUAGAACUCUUAACAUGUAUUACCUUAUGUAACAAUACCACACAUUCACUCAAUUGGAUUAAUAUUUAGUGCGGUAAGUUGGAUUGGAAAAUCAACUGAAACUGUGAGUUUCAUGGCUUAAUCUUCAUUCAAUUGAACUUCUUGACUUACUGCAAUGACUAUGUCAUUUUAGCAUUACAGAAUCCAUUUCCAUCUAGAACUAGAAAAUUCUUACCCAUUUUGUGACUUGUAAUCAUCGCAAUCCACUCUAUACUAUGAGUGUCUUUGAUUUGGCUUCCAAACACGAUGGAGGUGUCUUCGACGCUAUAGCGCGUCAAACCAAAAACAAUAUGAAGUUGUAGGAGAUGCAACAGUUGUUGCUUAUGAAAUCUCUACAAGUAGCCCCACCAAAUUUUAUGCUUUUAGCUUUCUAGAACAUUGCUCGAUUCCCCACUGUCAAAGGAACAAGAAAUCACUGAAUUUAUAUAGUUGAAUUUCAUGCAGUCUUUGAUUUCAAUAGAAAGAUGCAAGUGACUACCUCCGUGUUCCGUUGACACUUGACAGUAUUAGCUAAUGAUAUACAGCUGUGCAUAUCAUUAGCUUUUAUUUGUACUAUGUUUAAUCUUUAUGAUUUCGGUUGCAUUGUCCCAGCCUGACAAUUUAAGGCAGCAAUUGCUCUUGUCCUUAUCAGCAUUGAUUUCUUCCUUCCUUAGUUGAUGCUAUGACACUUGCAAAUAUGUGGAUAUACUUAGGUAUUACAUACACAAUUCAACAACAAUAUUUAAAUAACCAGUAUAGACGGCAGGAGAAUCAAAACCCGUUUCUCAGCCAGUAAAACUAAGUCAGCUGUCAUAUCAUAUCAACCAUAUGAAAGCAAUAUAAUCUAAGUGUACAUAAAAAAUUUAAUGAAUUGAAAUCCCCCCCAAGUGAAAUUAAGAAAUUCAUGUCUUAAUUGGCAUCACCAACUACUUAGUAUGUAAGAGAGAUCAUGUGAAGAACUCCAUCUGUUCUGAUCAAUCUGAUCAAGGAACAUGUAGGCUAUAGCUAAUUCCAUGUGAAUGUGAAUGUUAGACAAACAUGUGUUAUGUAUACAAACACUCAAGCUCUAUUUCUUUGUGAUGGUAAUAGUAAUAGAAAAGAAAUCCUGGUGCUACUUAUCAGGAAUUGGCCAGUUUGAAGAAAUUAUAAUGGAAGUGUUAUUUAGCGACAUGGGAAAGAAAUGAUUAUUCAUGAAUUCGUCAAGUUCGUUUCACUUGAAUUGUGUUUAGAUGGCCAAAUGGAUAGUAGCAUGGUUAUCUUCUGUUAAGUUUGCUUACAGUUAUGUCUGCCAACUGAGACAGUUAUUUGCAUUGGUUUGUUUGAAGCAAGGGUUUAUAGCUUCUUAAUAAUCGUGGUUAAAUAUUCUCCUACCGUGAGGUUGAUGUAGUUGAAUGCACUUCCAAUCAUGCAACUAAAAUUGUUGCACUUGCCAUUACAAAAUAAUCAAUGUUGAUGCCAUAGUUUCCAUCGGCAGUCCAAUCCAUUUCUUUCUGAUAAAUAAGCAUUAACCGCACAAGAUUUUUUUUGCUGGACAAAAUUAACUGUACAAGAUAACUACUUGAUUUUUAACUAUAAUUUAUUUACCUAAACAAUUUGCUAGGUUGAAAUACAAAAGGGAUGACUCCAAAAGGUUAGCAUAAGUUUAUAAACAUGGCGUUUAUAGAAAAAAAGGUUGCAAACUUUGACCACUUUUAACUUGCGACCAUCCAUAACUACGAUUUGCAGUUGUAGCUUCAGACAGUUCAUUUCCAAAUGCAAGACAACAUUUAACAUUUUAUUGGGACAAUUUGAGUAGUAUGUGGCCAUUGAAGCAAGAAGCCAAGAAGAAAGGAUAAAAGUUAAACUUAAUUGGUGGUGCAUCACAUAAGCCAACACCACGAGAAACUCAGCAGGCUACUCAAUUGGCCUCUUCCCCUCAAUAUCACAUAAACCACAAGCAAUAUAAUCCUUAGAGAACCUAGGUCUAUAUUGUUGUUAUUGCUUGUGGUUUAUUUUGGUUGUUGGUUGUCAUUGAUACUUGCUCCACGAAUAUAAAUUUCAUUGAUGUGAAGUUUGGAAUUGACCGAAUUCACAACAAUUGGCGCCCACUGUGGGGCAAGGGGAGAAGUUUGUCAAGUGUGCACCAUGGGUACCAAAGGUUACAUCUUGGAGAUGGAAACAAGCAUGGUUCAAUAGAAGUGUAUGGAAGCAUUGAAGGUUGAGACGGUGAUGUUGGUCAACCUAGCACAAUCAAAGAAGGUUAAGUGUAAAGAGAGGAGGUCAUGAUGGUGGUGUCAUGGCGGUGAUGUGUGUGUUCCCAAUGGGUAAGUUCAGCUUGGAGAGGCGGUGUGAAUAAUACUCGUGAUCAACCUUUAAGGUGGAGUGACAAGGUGAAAGCAUAGUGUGUGUACACAUUUGGAAGUUGAGGUAGAGAAAGCUCAACUUGAGGUGGAGUUAGUGACACCGAGAAUGGUACGACUAUGGAGGCCUUGGGUGUUAUGCUCUAGUUGUGAGCAUGUGAAUUCUUCAAGAGUACGGGAGGCAUUCCCGGGGUUGAAGAAUGUAUGGUGUUGCUUGUGUGAUUACCUAAAAGACCAAGGGUAAUUGGAGGAAAGUGAAUCUUCGGGAGGACGGGUUUGAUCACUCCGGGGGCCGAAGAAGUUAUGGUGUAGUCUUGUGGAACUACCUAAAAUCCUAGUGUAGUUGGAUUCAAGGAAUAAGACUUGGAAGCUUGUGGAACUACUUGGUGUAGUUGGAUGCAAGGGAAAGGUAAAGGAGAAUGGUGGUUGAUGGUUAAAUUAGCAUCAUCAUCAUUUUAGAGUCAAGGUGCCUCAAAAAUGAUUUUGGAGAAAGUGAAGAAACGUGACACGAUUUGGCAAUCAUGUCACGAUUUUUGAAGGCAGUGAGCAUGGUUUGCAGGGUGUCCAAUCGUGACACGAUUUUGGGAAAACGUGACACGAUUUUCGGCUUGUUGGACACGUUUUCAGGAUAAGGUUGAUCGUACCUUGGGUCGUACGCACCAACUGUGACACAAUUUUGCCCGGAUCUGAACACUACAUAUGCAUUCUUUGACUCAUUUGUUGGGUAAGCUUAGUGAAUCUCAUGGAAACCAAAGGAGGGAACUUUUAGGGUUUUAGAUACUAAAGGUUGAGGGUCUUUGGGUGAGGUUCAAAGCUUCAAAAUGUGAAUCUUGGAGAACCAAAAGAGGGGGCUCUUAUGAAAAGGGUUGGUGCCUUUUGGAGAAGAUUCAUGGGGUUGGGAAACACAUGAGUGUAGAGUCUUUUGUGAGAAACUUGGGUGAGUCUCGUGAAACCAAAAGAGAAGAUCCUUAGUGAAAUCAAAGGCUAAGGGUUGGUUCUCUUUUGGGGGUUAGAUUCUAGAGUUGGGAAACAAUUGUAAACACCUUGGGAGAGUGAAAAUCAUGAGUGUCUUGUUCAUUGGUGAGAUUGGGAAAAUGGGUAGAAAUUAGGGUUGUUUUUUGUGAGCUUGUUGAAGCUAAUUUCUUGUAACCCAUUUGUAUCUCUUUGUAAGAACUCAUUGAUAGUGGAUUGGAGGGAUCAAUCUCUCCUCCAGAUUAAGUCAAGUUGGACCGAACUGGGUCAACAAUUUCUUGGUGUUGUUAUCUUUUUCUUUACUCUCUUUAUCUUAUUUAUUCUUUGGUUGAAUUGUGGUUUUGCUCUGCAUUUGGUUUAUAGAACAUCCUUGCCUCAUUCUCUGCCUUGUAGUCACACUAAUUAUAUUGAACUUAGAGUACAUUAUAGCAAUUCACUGCAAACUGUGUUUGAUUUGGCUUCCAAACAUACUGAAGGUGUGUUGGAAGCAUGUCAGGCCAAAUCAGUUGUUGCUCAGAAAUAUCUACAAGUUCCCCCACCAAAUAUUAGCUUACUAGAAUAUUUCAAGACUCAUCGGUUUCUUCCUUGCUUAGUUGACGCUACGACAUUUGUAAAUAUGUGGACAUACAUACUUAGGUUAUACAUACACAAUUCAACCAAAAUAUUUGAAUAACCAUUAUAGACAGCAGGAGAAUCCAAACCCGUUUCUCAGCUAGUAAAACAAAGCAGCUGUUAUAUCAACCAUAUGAAAGCAAUGUAAUCUAUCUAAGUGUAACAUAAAAGAUUUAAUGAACUAAAAACUCCCCCAAGGGAAAUCAAGAAAUUCAUUAUUUAAUUUUUUUUGAAGUGCAAUACAACAUUGUUCUUUAACAUUUAACAUUGAAAAAUACUAAGUGCCUGAAAUACUAACCUUAAACCGCACCGAGUGCACUUAAAACCCUCUAAAUAGACUUGGCAUUGAAGCAACGCAAAAGAUCCUGAGAGAAUCCAUUUCCAUCUAGAACUAGAACAUCCCUACCUCAUUCUCUGACUUGUAGUCAUACUCAUUAUGUUGAAUUUAAAAGCAAUUCAAAUCAGUUUGAUUUGGCUAAGAUUCACCACAAACUAUGAGUGUGUUUGAUUUGGCUUCCAAAUCAGUUCUAUUGUAAUCCAUAACAAACCGGCCGAUUGAGGUCAUUUGUUGUAGCUUUUUUAAGGACAAAAAACCACUUUUCUUAAAAAACAAAUCACUCUAGAGAAUAUUGUAUCUGUUUGUAAUUUAAUCCUUACAAAAUCGAAUUUUAGGUAAUAUUUUAUCCAAUGAAGCACUCUUAACAUGUAUUACCUCACGUCAAUAUACCACACAUUCACUCAAUUGGAUAAAUAUUUAAUAUGGUAAAUUGGAUUGGGAAAUCAACUGACACUGUGAGUUGUUUGAUGACUUGGUCUGAUUGACGUACUGCAAUGACUAUGCCGUUUUUAACAUGUGAGAAUCAAUUUCCAUCUAGAACUAAAAGAUCCUUACCCAUUUUGUGACUUGAAGUCAUUGCAAUCCAUUCCAUACUAAAAUCGUCUUUGAUUUGGCUUCCAAACACAAUGAAGGUGUCUUUGACGCCAUAGCGCAUCAAACCAAACACAACAUGAAGUUGUAAGAGAUGCAACAGUUGUCUGUUGCUAUGAAAUCUUUGCAAGUACCCCCACCAAAUUAAAGGCUCUUAGCUUUCUAGAACAUUUUGAGACGCACCCUCACAACUCAUACAGAUUUCCCACUGUCAAAGGAACAAGAAGUGACUGACUUUUUGCUGUCUUUGCAUUUUCUCGGCCUCCACAGUAUAAGGCGGCAAUUGCUCUUGUCAUUUUUAGCAUUGAUUUCUUCCUUCCUUAGUUGACGCUACGACCUUUGUAAAUAUUUGGGCAUACAUACUUGGGUUAUACAUACACAAUUCAACCACAAUAUUUGAAUAACCAUAUAGACAGCAGGAGAAUCCAAACCCGUUUCUCAGCUAGUAAAACUAAAUCAGCUGUUAUAACUUAUAUCAACCAUAUGAGAGCAAUGUAAUCUAAGUGUAACAGAAAAGAUUUCACGAACUGAAAACUCCCCCAAAGGAAAUUAAGAAAUUCAUUUUUUUUAAGUGCAAUACAACAUUGUUCUUUAACAUUGAAAAAUGCCAAGUGCCUGAAAUACUAACGUUAAAACGUAAAUUUUUAUGAAAAUUUAUAUACAUAGAGAUGGUCUUGUAUAAACACAAGCAUUGACACAAAAUUUAAACACAAACACAUCAAUUGAUACCACUUCAAUCCUUUUCUUGUUAAUUUUUUUAGUUUUACGUGUGUGCCUAACAUGUAAUAUUUAGUGUUUGUGCCUAACUAAGUAUUUCUCGCACUUAAAACCCUCUAAAUAGAGGACUGAAGCAAAAGAAAUAAUAAACGUUGAAGCCAUAUGCCCCUAAAAACUGUUUUCCUAAAAAAAAUAAUUAUUGGAUUUGGAGCCAUGCUAAAACUAAUAAGUACUCUGAUCGUACUUUAAUGUAGAAUUUUGCAUUAAAAAAAUUGAUUGAACAAUUUUCAAAACAAAAUUCCACAUUCAAGUUUUAAAAAAAUGUUCCUUCAAAGGAUAGGCUGAGAACGCUAUGUAAUGGUCGUUGUUCAAAGCACUUUAUUUAUACUUAAGUCUCUGGUGUCUGUUGUUUCCAUCCAACGAUGUGGGACUUGGCCACAAGUAACUCAGCACAGCACCACCAACAACCUUGCUAUUCUACUUCUACCUUAAACUUUGAAUAUUGGAAAGAAGCAUUUUUACCACAAUUAGUUAACACGGCUCGAUAAAAAAUUCUUGUUUAAACUUUCUAAUAAUGUUUCAUCCUUACAUUGAGUUUAAAAGUGACUUUAAGAUUAGCUAAAUACAUGAUCUGUUUCCAUAAUACCAUACAUGAUCUCGUUCCUUCAUGGUGGGAAUAUCCUUACCUCAUUCUUAUGCUGAAUUUAUAGUAGAUAAAAGCAAUUUACUGCUUAAACAGCGCAUGGCGGCAGUGUUAUGGAGCCUUUGGAAACACCGUAACCUUAAAUUUUGGCAAAACGAACAAGAGCUGUGUGUUCAUGUUUUUGAUCCGGGCUCGACACUUAAUGGACGAAUGGCUGUCAGCGCAACCUCAGUCUCAGCCUUCAUCUAUGCAGAACAGGUCAGAACAUGCCAGAGGCACCUCUCAGCAGCUCCUACAAUCACAGUCUCGGCAUGUGCAUCCACCGUCAGCAAGUCCUUCUCUGUGGCAGAAACCACAACCCGGUAGAGUAAAGUGUAACAUUGACGCUUCUUCUCUUCCUCUUGGAACCGUACAGGUAUUGGGGCCUGUUUACGCGAUGAAGAUGGCACCUUUAUCCUUGCUCAAACUAUGAGUUUUCCUAUAAAGUACUCUGUUGAUGUUGGGGAAGCUCUUGGUUUGUUUCAUGCAUUGCAAUGGUUAGCAGACAUGCAAUUCGAUGGUGUGGAUUUUAUGGUCGACUCCAAGGUAACUGCAGAUGCUUUUAAUUCUCACCGCCAUGAUGCAACAGAGUUUGGCCAAGUCAUUAUAGCAUGUCAGAAUCUUUUUUCUUCCUCAUUUGCAAACUCUAGGGUGGAGUUUAGUCGGAUACAAGCAAAUGUGGCUGCCCACGUUCUCGCCGGUGAAGCCACUUUAACAGCUAGUCCCACAAUAUAUUAGGAAGUACCCGAUUGUAUUGAAUCUAUUAUCAUUAAUGAAAUGCUAUAAGCAUCUUUUCCUCAAAAAAAAAAAGAAAAAAGAAGCAAUUUACUGCAAACUAACAGUAUGUUUGAUUUGGCUUCGAAAUCAGUUUUAUUGUAAUCUGUAACAAACGGGCAGUUUGAGGCCGCUUGUUGUAGCUCUUUUAAGGAAAAAAAUCAUUUUUUAAAAUAAAAAAAAAUCAUUUCAAAGAGUAUUUUAUCCGUUUGUUACAAUUUAAUAUUAAAAAAAUAAGAAUUUAUAAAAACUCUAAAAACAAUUUCAAAGAGUAGCUUUCCAAAAAUAAUCUCUAAAGCAGUACCAGUCAUAAAUCAUAAAUAUAUAUGAAGAGGGAGAGGCAACUCAAUGACUAAGAAAAUAGUUUAUAUAUAAAAUUUAUAAAUCCUUAAGUGAAAUCUCUUCUAACUUAUGAUUAUUCAUACGCAGAUAAGCUAUGAUUUGUAGCUUCAGCAAAAUCACGUCCAAAUAGUCUUGAGGUGCAAGAAACAGAAUUUGAAUAUAAAUCCAAACUAUUGGUUAUACUCGAUAAAAUGGCUUCAAGACGGGUAACUUUCACGAAUUUGAUACUCAUAGGUUCUUGGUAAAUCAGAAGGAUUCAUAUGCAUGAUCCAACAUGGUAAGAUCAAAUUGCAUUUCUCCAUCUAUCAACUACGUUUCAUUUUAAUCCUGAAUCAUAAACAUAAUUUCACAAAAUUAAAAAAGAAAUCAGUAUGGACCUUUCUAAGACAAAACACAUGAAUAUUUUAAUUCGUGCAUACCUGCUCAACCGCUUCACUUAUUGUGUCAUCCAAGGCAAAGAACUAUUCUGAACGAAUCCAUCUACAUCAAGCAAUUGCUCAAAAAAGCAAUCACCAUUUGAUUCCAUAGUUCUUUCGUCUGAAUAGAAUUUUUCAACUACAGGCAUCUGAGUGAUUAAUGGACUAAUAGUUUGGGGUACACUAUGGACCAUGGAACUUGUGUCUGCAUUAGAAGAAUCCAAGGUAUUGUUGAAGGAAGAACCCACAUUUUGCUGAUGCGUGUAACAUGAAGCCGUUACAACACUCCCAAGUAAUCCAUCUUGACAUUGCAUCGUUUCCUCUAAAGGAACAUCAAUGACGCGUAUCGAAGAAAAAUCAUCUGGAUUUUUCUUAAAUUGAGAACUGAGUGAGGCAAACUUUAAGCUAUUGUGAGAUAUUUGAUCAUUAUUAAAAUCCUCACUCAAUGGAGAAGGAUUGGAAGCAAAGUUAUAGGAACCACUUGUAGCAGGGUUAAAAGAUUUUUGUUCCAUAGCAGGACCUCCAACAGAUGGGUGAUUUAUGAAUGCUCUUGAAUUAUGUGUUUGUAGGUGAUUGCUUGAGAUGCAAGAAAGAAAACUAUUUGCAUUAUUAACAUUAGCUCUGAUGUCUUGGAAGCCAGAAGAAUCUGUAAAUGCACUUGAAUCAUCAAUUGGACUUAAUUUCAUGUUACCAGGUGGGUAAAUGUUCUGCUGAAAUUGGUUAAUUUCCACUGACGUUCGAACACCCUUUAAAGCACUCGAGCUUUCACUUGCAAAAAACAAUGGCUGCUUGUAACUGGGAAUGUUUUGAGACUGAAGUGGAGGGACUAGUGCAGAAGAACUCAUUCCUCUCAAGUUCAAGCCAGAUGGUGCGUUCAACCGACAAAACAUGUUACUAGAUGCAUAUGUUGGCAAUGUGCUGCUUAAGAUUCUUCUUGAUCCAGGUAAGGUACAAAAAUCUCCAUAUCCAGCUACUGAAUUCUUUUGUAGGUGAGGAUCUAAUGCAGCAUCUACUCUAGCCUGUUUAGAUGGUCUUUUGAGACUAAGUUUGUAUUUCUGCAAUUGAAAACGAGAACGAGCUUACACGUAGUUUUCACUCUUAUGUUUCAUAAAGGAGAUUGUUGAAAUUUCAAUGAAUAACGGAUAUAAAAAACUUUCACACCAUUAUUUGCAUACAAGCAUAUGUUUAAAAGUAAAGUAUCCCUUUUAACUUCGACGGUAUUUGCAAAAAGGUGGUGAUAAAAUAUUUUAAUGAUAAACUAGUAUGAAUUUUUUUGACAAAAGAAGAAAUUAUAGUUUGUACCUGCAAAUGGCUAGCUACAUUUUCCCUUGUAAGCCCUUCAACAUUCAUCAAGUCACAUAUCUUCUUAGGAUAAGCCUCUGCAAUAACAGUUGAAGAAAGUACAUGUUAGGAACAAUAAUAUCCAUAUGUAAGUUUCAAUCAUCAAAUGGUCUUGUUAAAGAUUCCAUGUUUUAAAGUCAAUCAAAUUAGCAAAGUAACAAAAGAAAAAAAAAAUGAUUGUCACAUAAACUCACUAUCAAGGCCGAGUUGACUAACUAUAGAUACAAAUUUUUUAUGCAGUUCAUCAUCCCAAACUAAACGAGGCUUCUUCCGAGUCGAGCGUUCCUCAUCAUUAUCUUCUUCUGCUUCUUCUUCUUCCUCUUCUUCAUCUUCACUUUGUUCCUUUAUUUUUUGUCCACGGGUUUUAUUCCUGUUAGCAAUAUUUUCAGAUGAGGUGUCUUGACUACAUAUCCCAUCAGUAAUGAUACCUUUAUUCCGAUCCUUGCUUUCAAUCUUCUUUCUCACUACAUGUUGCCAUAUGUUCUUAAGCUCUUCCAAUCGGAUUGGUUUCACUAGAUAGUCGCAAGCGCCUUUCAUCACACCUUUCAUCACCCUCUCUCUAUCAUCAUUUCCUGACAACACUAUAUCACACAAAAAAAAAUCAUCACUUAAAGACACUAUCUGAAUAUAAGAAGUGAAUCUUAGUUAGCUGAAUAAUAAACAUGCUAAAACAAAGGUAUGUGAGCUUACUGAUGAAGGGUAGGUCUAUUUCAAGUCCAACUUGCUCAAGGAGCUUGAAUCCAUCCAUUUCUGGCAUGCUUACAUCACUAAUUACAAGGUCAAACAUAUCUCUUUUUUCCCUCAACAAUUCUAGCGCUUCCACAGGUUUCGUAGUUGUAGUAACUGCAACAACCAAGAAUCAAAGUAGUGAUUCAGUGAGAGACAUUUAAAAUAAAAAGGCUUCCUGUGUUAUAAAGGACCGUCAAUUCACCCACUAAUAGCAAACGUUUAAUAAAAAUAGUGAGGCUUCUAGUUCCCACUUCCAACACUAAUGUUUCAUCCCAAUAAAAUAGUAGUGAUCUUUACAAGAUUUAAAAUUUCAACUUUAUGAGAACAGAAAAUACCGCUGUCUCGCAAAAGAAUGAAUUUCUGUAUCUAAAAUCAAGAAAAUUGUCAACUGAUGUGUGUGUAUAUGUACAUAUACAAUUAGAUUACAAUACUAUACAAGCGAACAAAUAAAGUGUCCUCAAAGAAAUUUGCAAUAAUUUUUACUUAUUUUAAAUGCAAAUUAGAGCAGCAUAGAAUAAUAGAAAAUGAGAAAACAGUAUUUAGGAAAGUUGAAUUCAACAACACUUCAAAAAAUCAUAUUCAUUCAUAAUUUGUACCAAACAGACUAGCAAUGUCUUUUCCAAUCAAAACAACUGAAUUAUUUGCAAGAAACUCAUCCUCUAUUUUUAUUUCCGACUUUUGUCUUACCAUUUUUAUUGCUAGCAAAGUUCUCUAUGUAUUUGUUACAAAGACCGGAAGUGUCAAAACACGAGAAAUACAAUUUCCAAUCAAAUAAUAAUUUUUUAUCUUUUAUGUUUCUACUAAAUUUUUGGCAAAUAUACUUGUUUGGGUAGUUCAACAUAUAUUAUUAGGGUGGCUAAACAUAAAAGCUUACUUAUUUAUACAUGAAAUAAACCAAAAAUUGGGAAAAUAUUGUGACAUCACAUCGAAAAUAUUGAGAAAACAAAAGUGAUUGAAUGUAAGAUGUGUCGGUGUUGGAUACUAGCACACGCUAGACACCGACUACAAAGCUUAUAAGUUAUAACCAAUAUGUCGUGGUUCAAACUCUAAAAACUAAUAUAAUCAUCACUAAAUUACUAACAAGUAACAUUUGCCCCGAUUAAAAAAAGGGUUUCUGUAUCAAAGAUAGUUCCAAUUAUAAGUUUACACCACUGCAUGAGAGGAGAAUAGUACCGGGAAAACAUCAAAGAAUCAUCAAUGCAGAAAUGAAUUGACUGAAAGAAAGAAGAAAAAAUGGAAACGAACCAUUAUACUUGCACAUAAGAAGAAACUUCUCCAACAGUUUGAGACAAGUUUGAUCGUCAUCAACAGCCAGAACACGCAUACCCACCGGAAAAUCUUCUCUGAAGACAUUUUCAACCUCCAAAGGAUUCUCCACAGCCAUCGUGAACCAGAAUCAAAUAUCCAAAACAGAAAACAAGUAUUGAUCAGUGAUCAGACAAAUCACACUCGAAAAAGUUCCAAACUCAAGAAAAGGCCUAGAGAGAAAAACACAAAUAUUCAAUCAAUGGCUUUGUUCUGCUAUAUGUUGUUGUGAAAACACAGAGGAAUAUGUUUUUUCUCUAAGCUUGCAAGGAAAGAAAUUAAUUUCAUGAUUUGAUAAGAUGUUUUCCAAAUUUAUUAUCGUUUUUUUUUUUAAGUAAUGAUUUUUAAUACAACAAAGCAAAGUGUAACCCACAGAAACAAAACCGUGUUCCAAAUUGAAUCACUCUGUCUUUACAUGUUUUAUUUUCCAUAAAAACGUGUGCUUCUUUUGGCAUGUAAUGAUUAAGAAAUCCCCAGAUGUAGUGGUGCAAGAUACAUAGGGGUUACAAGUAAGUUUUUCUCUCAAUCUUGAUCAAAUAGUCACCGGUGUUUUGAAUGUGUGAACCAUGAGACAGCAAGAAAUCCAAUUUCUACGAGUACUAGUCCUUGUUUCCCUGGUUACAUUUCAAUUCCCUACUUUGAAUUUUAAGAAGGAAAAAAAAACUCUCACACUUAUCAACUGAGUCGACCUUCGUUGACAAACAGUAAUUAUUUAUAUUUGAAGCCAACAAAUGCGUAGGAUAAGCUUUGUUUUGGUUUAUAAUUGAGAUCGGAAGAAAUCUUUUGGAAGGUAAUCUUGUAGGAAAAGAAAUCGUUGUGAUUGUACAGCAUUGUCCCUAAAACAUGAACAGCCGGAUUCAAAACAAUGAAAAUGAAAACUUGGAGUCUUUAAUCACAAUUUUAUUAGUAGGGUCUAGUAACCUUCUUUGUAAAUUACCGAAAAUACUAUAAAUUAUGAGAUCCCUGUAUGUUAAAGACAAAAUGUUAACUACUACAUUAAAAAAUAUUUUAUUAUUUAUUAAAAAAUGUCUAAAAUUAUCAAUGCAUUUGAUGUUUUGUUUUCUAAUAAAUAGUACUUUAUAUUUUUUUUUUAUUAUUCAACUGAUAUCAUAGAACAAUGGAAUAUCAACAACAAUAUGGUAGGAGUUUAUUCCUUAAAAAAAAAUAUGCAUGUUUAUGUUUAUGUUUCCUCAGAUUAUGUGUACAACUGUACAUUGAUGCUUUGAGUUUGCAUUUGAGUGGUGCAUUUUUUUCUUUCUGUUUGGGUAGAAUUGAUGGAUAAUUGUUCCCAUUGAAUGAUGCAAUUUCACAUUUAGUGCGUGGACCAUUUUGGUCUUGUAUUUUCUCUUGUUUAUUGAAGUGUUGAUAUUUUGGAGACUUUCUUGAAGUGUAUGUCCAUUAAAUUGCAAGUCUAAGAAAAAUUAAAUCAUCUCAAUUCUUAGAACUUUGGUUGAACACUUAUUCAAUGUGAAAUUCUUAACACAAAUUACAGCAUGUCAGAAGACCACACACUCACUCAAUUGGAUUAAUAUUUAGUGUGGUAAAUUGGAAAAGUAACUGAAAACGUGAGUUAUUUGAUCUUUGUCCAACAAUACUAAUUCACGGGCCGCUAUUUUAACACGAUAGAAACCAUUUCCAUCUAAAACUAGAACAUCCCUUGCAUAUUCUCUGACUUACAGUCAUGUACUCAUUGUAUUGAACUUGGAGUUCAUGGUAGCAAUCCACCACAAACUAAGAGCUUGUUUGAUGCAACAGUUCUUGCUUGUGAAGUCAGUCUUUAAAAAUAGUUUAUAUAUAAAGUUUAUAAACAUAAAGAUAAUAGUAACAGUUGUAAAAAUAAACUGGACUGCUAGCACAUACUAGUAAUACUAAAGACAUAGGAUAAAUCUCCUCUAAGUUACGGCCAGCCAUAAGCUACGAUAUGCGGCUACAGAAAAUUCUAGUUCAAAUAGUCUUGGGAUGCAAGAAAUAAAAUUUUAAGAUAAAUCCAAGCUUCUAGUUAAACUUCUCGAUGAAACAGCUCCAAGACUGGAGUAACUUUCAUGGCUUUGAUGCUCCUUGGUUAAUCAGAUGGACUCUGCUGCAAAAUCCAACAUUGUAAGAUCAAAUUUCAUUUCUCCAUCUAUCAAUUACGUCUCAUUUUAAUCUUGAAUCAUAAACUUACUUUUACAAAAUAAAAAAAUAAAUCAGUAUGGAACUUGCUAAGAAGUGAUUAAUACAUAAGAAUAUUUUUAAUCGUAUAUACCUGUUUAACCGCUUCACUUAUUGUGUCAUCCAAAGACACACAACUAUUCUCAAUCAAUCCGUCUAGAGCUAGCAGUUGCUCAAAAAAGCAAUCACCACGUGGUUCCGUCACUCUUGCAUCUGAAUAAAAUUUCUCAACUUGAGGCAUCUGAGUCAUUAAUUGACUAUUUGUUUGGGGUACACUUUGUACCAUGGAACUAGUGUCUUCAUUAUAAGAAGCAAGAGAGUCCAAGGUAUUGUUGAAGGAAGAGCUGACAUUUUGCUGCUGCGUCGUGUAACAUGAAGCCUUUACAACAUUCCCAAGUAAGCCAUCUUGACAUUGCAUCGCUUCCUCCGAAGGAACAGCAAGUGUCGAAGAAAAAUCAACUGGACUUUUCCUAAAGUGAGAACUGGGAGAGGCAAAAUUUAAGCUAUUGCCAGAAAUUUGAUCAUUGUUAAAAUCCUCACUCAAUGGAGAAGGAUUGGAAGCAAAGUUAGAUGAACCAUAUGUAGCAGGAUUAAAAGAUUUUGGUUCCACGUAAGCCCCUCCAACAGAAGAGUGAUUUACAAAUGCUCCUGAAUUAUGUGUUGAUAGGUUAUUGCUUGAGAUGCAAGAAAGAGAACUAUUUGCAUUAUUAACAGUAUCUCUGAUGUCUUGGAAGCCAGAAGAAACUGUAAAAGCACUUGUAUAAUCAAUUGGAUUUAAAUUCUUGUUACCAAGCGGAUAAAUGUUCCGCUGAAACUGGUUAAUUUCCGCCGAUGUUCGAACACCCUGGGAAAAACUCAAGCUUUCACUUGCAGAAAACAUCGGCUGCUUGAAACUGAGAAUGUUUUGAGACUGAAGUGGUGGGACUGGUGCAGAAGGACUCAUUCGUCUAAAGUUCAAACUAGAUGGUGCGUUCAGCCGACAAAACAUGCCACUAGAUGCAUAUGUUGGCAGUGUGCUACUUAAGAUUCUUCUUGAUCCAGGUAAGGUGCAAAAAUCUCCAUAUCCACGUACUGAACCCUUUUGCUGGAGAGGAUCUAGUGCAGCAUCUACUUUAGCCUGUUUAGACGGUCGUUUGAGACUAAGUCUGUAUUUCUGCAAUCAAAAACAAGAAUGAGCUUACACACCGUUUUCAUACUUUUGUUUCGUAAACUAGCUUGUUGAAAUUUAAAUGAACAACGGAUCUAAAAAAAUUUCACACCAUUAUUUGUAUGCAAGUGUAUUUUUAAAAGUAAAUUAUCCCCUUCAAAUCAACCGUAUUUGCAAAAAGGCGAUGAUCAAAUAUUUUAAUAAUAAAGUAGUCUGAUUUUUUUUUACUAAAGGGUAAGUUAUAAUUUGUACCUGCAAAUGGCUAGCUACAUUUUCCCUUGUAAGCCCUUCAACAUUCAUCAAGUCACGUAUUUUUUUAGGAUAAGCCUCUGCAAUAAUAGAUGAAGAAACUACAUAUUAGGAACAAUAAUAUCCAUAUUUAAGUAUCAAUCAUCAAUGGUCUUAAGUUUCAUGUUUUCAAGUCAAGCAAGUUAGCAAAGUAAAAAAAAAAAAACAAAAAAAAACAUUGUCAUAUAAACUCACUGUCAAGGCCAAGCAGAUUAACUAUAGAAACAAAUUUUUUAUGCAACUCGUUAUCCCAAACAAAACGCGGCUUCUUCCGAGUUGAGUGUUCCUCGUCAUUCUCUUCAUCAGUAUCUGCUUCUUCCUCCUCACUUUGUUCCUUUCUUUUUCGUCCAUGCGUUUUAUUCUUCUUAGGAAUAUUUUCAGAUGAGGUGUCUUGACCAGAUACCCCAUCACUAAUGAUACCUUGAUUUUGAUCCUUGCUUUCAAUCUUUUUUCUCACUACAUGUUGCCAUAUGUUCUUAAGCUCCUCCAAUCGGAUCGGUUUGACUAGAUAGUCGCAAGCGCCUUUCAUCACACCUUUCAUCACCCUUUCUCUAUCAUCAUGUCCUGACAACACUAUAUCACACCAAUAGAAAAAAAAAAUCAUCACUUAAAGAUUCUAUAUGAAUAUAAGAAGUGGAUCUUAAUUAGCUGAAUAAUACACAUGUUAAGACAAUUUAAGGUUUGUUAGCUUACUAAUGAAAGGCAGGUCCAUCUCAAGUCCAACUUGCUCAAGGAGCUUGAAACCAUCCAUUUCUGGCAUGUUUACAUCACUAAUUAUAAGAUCAAACAUGCUUCUCUUUUCCCUCAACAAUUCAAGCGCUUCCACUGACUUCGUAGUUGUAGUAACUGCAACAACCAAGAAUCAAAGUAGUGAUUCAGUGAGAGAUAUUUAAAAUAGAAGUAAUCUUUAAAAGAUGUAAGUUUCAACUUUAGGAGAACACGAUUAAAACACAACCAUAUUGCAAAAGAAUGAAUUUUUGUAUCUAAAUUCAUGAAAACUGUACUGAUGUGUGUAUAUAACCUAUAUGUAGCUGAUGUGAGGGACGCCGGAAGGGUGCGGUUAUGGUGCAUAAGAAAAUCCUUAUGCACCCUGCAUAAAUCCAGAAAUGGUUUUGGAGUACAACUCACAGAAACCAUUUCCACAGCAAAAUGGUUUUGGCAUAAUUUUAUGCAGGGUGCUGGAAACCAUUAAGUACAUCUAAUGGUUUUGAAAUACAACUCACAGAAACCAUUUUUGGAUUUAUGCAGGGUGCAUAAGGAUUUCCUUAUGCACCAUAACCACACCCACACCGGAAAACUUACAUAACAUUAUAAAUUUAUAACCUAUACACAUCACACUUAUAAUAAUUUGAGAAAAUGUAAGUGAUUGAAUGAGUUGUGCCCGAUACUAAUUAACACAUGUCGGAGUCCAAACAUUCUUAUAGCUUGCUUAUAACCAAGAAGUCAUUGUUGAAACCCUAGAAACUAAAAUAGUCACUCACUAAUCACUAACAACUAACACUUGCCGAUAAAAUAAAAUAAAAAGGGAAAAAAAAGGGUUUGUUAUAUCAAAGAUACUUCCAAUUAUAUGUUUAGAUCAUUGCAUGAGAGAAGAAUAGUAAGUGAAAACAUGAAAGCAUCAUAAAUGGAGAAUCAAAUUGACCAAAUGAAAAAGAAAGGCAACGAACCAUUAUACUUGCAUGUGAGAAGAUGCUUCUCCAGCACUUUGAGACUAGUCUGAUCAUCAUCAACAGCCAGAACACGCAUACCAACUGGAAAACCUUCUUCUGUAACAUCUUCACCCACCAAACGAUCCUCCACAGCCAUCAUAAACCAGAAAACAAAUAAACAAAACAGAAAACAAGUAUAUUGAUUAGUGAUCAAACAAAUAACACACGAAUAAGUUCAAGAAAAGACCUAGAGAGAAAAAUGCAAAUAUAUUUAAUGGCUUUGUUCUCUUUUCUUAACAACAAAGAAGAAUAAGGUUUUGUAACUAAAUAUAUUUGUUGGGGAUUUGCCAAACAAAACUAGAAACUUUUGAGGAAAGAAAUUGAUUUCAUGAUUUGAUGCGAUAUUUUCUUUCCAAAUUUAUUAUCAGUUUUUUUUUUCUUAACCAUUACUAUGUGCUUGUUAUGACUAAUACUAUAAUUUUCGAUGCUUGUUUUGAGUUUAUUGAGGUUUAAUGGACAUUAAAUGUGUGUGCUUAUUUUGGCAUCUAAUGAUUACGAAAUUUUCGCACCGCGACUUUGUUAUUAGGAGUGACUCAGAAAAUAUAAUCCUUCAAAUAUUUUAUUUUACUUCAAUUGGGGAACAUGUCUCAAAAAUUGCAACCAAAAAUAGAACGUGUCAAAAAAAAAAAAACUCUUACAAAUCUUUUUCUCUGUCUACAAAAAAAAAUUAGCCUUAAAAAAAUUGCUUUUUUGACAAAUUAUUUGUUACGGAUUUUUUUUUCCUCUUGAGUCCUAUAUAAUCUUAGAAAUAUAAACGAACCCGUGACUCAAUAGACAAUAGGAAAUCCAAUGUUUACGAGUACGGGUCCUUUUUUCUUUCAGAGGUGAGUCCCAUUUUCUUUGAUUAUAUUUCAACUUGCUCCUUCGUUAUAAGAAGAAAAAAAUUAUUUCUAUUUAAUUCUUUUUUAUUUUAUGUAAAAAAUACUUUACCAUCCUUGAUUAAUUGUUAUCGUCUCACAACAUUAUAAUUAAUGCAAAGAUAUUUCUGAAACAGUAGUAUUUAAAUAUUGAUUGAGUGAUUAACCUUUGCUUAUAGUUGAAAAACCAAUAAAUACACUACAUUUUGGUCUGUUUUUUAAUAGACGAAAUGACAAAAUAUUAUAGACUCAUACACAAAGGUGGAAAUGUUGGGUUUGGACCGUGAUGUCUCGCUUAACAAUCUUGAUAUUAAUGAUAGUUGAAUUAGGACUUGUGGAUCUUUUAAUCCUUGUUAUUGGAGAGGUACGAGUCAACAAAAAUUGAUAUCAUAUUUGGGAAAUGCUAACCGGUGCCCCCGGGGCACUGGUUAAGGAUAUGAGAAAGGAAAUUAUAUAGUAGUUAAUGCAUUGAAAUUGUAUAAUUAAUUUAUAAUAAAGUCAAAAACAAUUUCCUUUUAUGGUAAUAAUUUCCUUUUAUGGUAUGUUUAACCAGUGUCCCGGAGGCACCGGUUAGCAGGACCCAUCAUAUUUAGUGGAAGCAUAUUUCUUUUCUUUUUGGUGGUAAUAAAUAUUUUUAAAGGCCCCUCAAAAAGAAAUUAAGGCAACUUUGUCGGACAAAAACGGGUCUUGUACAAUUUUGUCUCCCAAAAUAUGAACUGUCAGAAUCGAAACAAUGAAAAUGGAAACUUCGAAAGUUUCUAAUCAUAAAUUUAAUCAUACGGUCUAUUAUAGUACUUUAUGAGAUCCCUGUAUGUUAAAGACAAAAUGUUAACUACAUUUAAACAAAGUUAAUACUCUUGACCAAAAAAAUAAAUUAAUACUAUUUAUUAAGAAAUGUCUAAAAUUAUCAAUGCUUUUAAUAUUUUGCAUUUAAUUUACCAAUACGGUCUAUUAUACUAUAUGAGAUCCCAAUAAUUUUUUUUGUAGAAAAAGUUUUAUGGUGCAACAAAACUAAUGACGAGGAACAACGAAUUAAUAAGUGCCGUAGGAUCCUUCAUGAGAUUGCAAAUUAUUUUAGCUUUUAUGUAUUUUGAAAUUAUAACACCACUACCCCAUGAUUCGUGUCGUGCUAUUGUUUCUCGCACUACGUAGCAAUGCUAUUUUUUUAUUAUACGUUCAUCUAAUAUCAUACGAACAAGAAGACCUUAGCUGUAUUUUGAUAUAGAGUAAAUGAUUCUUAUUUCUAAAAUUUCUUAUUUCAUAAUUGUUGUUGGUCGAACGACACUUAACUGUCAUUGUCAUUUGUCUCUCCAACAAUAAUUAAGUGUCAUUUGCUAUUUUUUAGAUCAUAUGAAUCACUUUUUAAACCCAUUUAAAAAUAUCUUGAAAGUCAGCUAAGUUAAUUGUUGUUAGGGGUAAAUAGGUAAUUUUGAGAUGGAUUGAAGAAUUUUUGAAAGCCUAAAGAUUAAUACACGGUUGGCAAUGAUCCGGUGGUAUAGCGUGAUGCUUGAUGGUGUGUGGUCGAUGGUCCAGUCCCCAACUUUGGCUUGCUUGAUGUAGAAAACUACAUGUGUAUGCAUAUGAAUUUUUUUUAUCCUUUGUAAGUAGUAAUUAACGACAUAAACUAAGUCUGUUAAAUAAUAAUUUUAUCCACUCAACAAACCGAACAAUGCAAUGAUAUCAUAUCAUUGAUGAUAAUAUGUCAAUUCUAAUUUCUCAUAUGAUAUAAAUUUUAUUUAGUCCUUGUAAAAAGAAUGGUUUGCUCGUAAAUUGCUUAAUUUUAAUAAAUGAUUUUGUACAUUGUCUCUACAUAUUCCCACCUUAGCAUACAUGCAAGAAUUACUGGUCAAUUAUUUCGAAAAUUUAUUCGUUUGUCUCUACAAACUCUUUUGUGAGUGGGAUUGAAUUAAGUCCGUCAUAUUUUUGUAAAGUAAAUGUUUUUAGUAUAUUAAUAUUAUGUUGGGAAUUUUUUUUUAAGAAGUUAAAAUGAAAUAUAUUACUGAAAGUUUGGAGAUUUUAGUAUAAGGAGUGUCAAAACCUCAGCUGAAAGAGUCAAUUACAAGUAAUAAAAAAAACUGGGAGCCAAAACAAGUGAUGACACUAGGUCAUAUAACACUUUUGUUAUAGUUUUUAUGUAAUUUUGGUUGAGUUCAGGUGAUUAUGCAUGUGCUAGAAGCUACAAAUGGCAUAUUUUAUGUUUGCAAGAAAAGCAGAAAUCGUGCUCCGAUCUAUGAGCAUCGAGCUACAAUUUGAGAGAAUUUUUGAGGUUGUGGCCACGUAAAAAAUUGGGCUACGAUGAAAGUCCAUCGUUCUCCGAUUUGGCAGGCGCGUCGGAUUGGAUUUGAACUUAAAUUACCAAUCGUGCUCCAAUUUGGGGCAUCGGACUCCGAUUUUGGCGAGACCCAGAUUUUUAUUAUAAAAGCCAAGCUGCGUUCUAAGCAAGGGUUCGAAAUUUUGGAGAAAGAAACUGUCUUUUGGAGCUGGAGAUCUGGAGUGGGAGACCAUCAAAACUCAUAUCUGGUUACCAAUUUCAUGUAAUGAAUCCUUCUUUCAUAUUAGUUAUUUGUGCUUUAACCAUGAUUAGCUAGAUCCUUUCUGAUUAGGUCAAGAGAUGAUUCUGUUCUAGCUCAUGUAUAUGUAACCUGUAACUCUUAAUCUUUAUGAAUGUCAUUCUAGUUUAUUCAGUAUAAAUGGUUCUUAAUGCUUUUAUGAUUCUGACCCAAUAUAAUUGAUUCAGGAGUUUAUAUGACUCUUGACACUAGCGUGUAACUCAGAAAUAUCUAUACUGUUUAAUCUAACGGACAAUCUAGGGAUGGAGCGUUGUUAGGUUGUGAUAAUUAAAUUAACGGACUUUUAACCUUGAAUGAAUAUAGGUUCACCUGAGGAAUUAGGGAAUUAUAAUCAGGAAAGAGGGCUUAUAUCUAUUUUGUUAAUUUGUCGUUAACUGUAUAUCGUUCGUAAACUUAAGAAACAGGUUGCUAAUGAGUGAUGAAUUGAUUGACCUAGUCAUCUCUCCAUAUUAUUUCUCAAACCAAUUUUACCGUAACCAUUUUAUUUACAUUUGCAAUCCAAACCAAUUGCCUCGGUGCAACCCCCAUUUUACAAACAUCCUUAAUAAUAAUGACACUCCUGAGUAGAAGUUGAAACAGUCCAUGUGGAUACGAAUCUUAUAAAUUUUAUUACUUCGAUAUAAGUUAGUACACUUGCUAAUGUUGUACGUACGCAAACGGGCUUACAAGUAACGCAUAGCUCCUUCGCCCAAGAACAUGUCUUUGAAUUCUGCUCUCCCCCAUGCAUUUUUCGCUUGCGCCCUGCAGCCAUGACGAAAAAACCCCUGCGUAACUUAAAUCACGCUGCAUGAGUUAACUCACGCAGGUGUUAUAAUCCGUGUGUGUUAACUCACGCCAGUUUAAAACAAUCAAGUUGGAAUUGUUGUUGUCAUCUUAGGCACAUGUUUCUUGCAUUCAUGGCUUUGCGGUGGAGAAACCAUUUAAUGAAUAUUAAAUACCAUGCCAAUGAAUAUUAAAUGCAAAGCCAAUGAAUCAAAAGAGCUGGCAUGCAAAGCUAUAAUUGAAAGCCACGUGUAUGGGAGAAUCCAUCUUCUUGCAUAGAAAAUGUGACAGCAAGACUUGUAAAAGUUGAAACUUAAUCAUAACAGAGCACCACAACAACAUUAUAGUAUGAAAGGGAUAGCAUAUUAUAAUAUAAAAGGCCAGUUUUUUCUUUUGUUUUAUGCACCUAUGAUGAUGACAACAACAAUCCCAGCUUGAUUGUUUAAAACUUGUGUGAGGCGUGAGUUAACUUACACAGUAUUUUUAUACAUGCGCAUCUUAAGUGACGCAGCGCUAAUUAAGUAACACAUAGUUUAACAUUUGCGCUACUUAACUAGCGCAAGGACAUUUUUGGUAUGGCUGCAGGGUGCGAACGAAAAGUGCAGGGGGAGAGCAAAAUUCUAUGUCUUUUGAUGAUGAGUAUAGAAAGUAAUACUACUGAUUUAAUUUUUAUUUUUUAAAAAAUAUUCUAUAUUCAAAUUAGUAGAAUACGAAAAUCACACAAAUCCAACAUCAUUAGAACUAAAAAAGAUAAAUUUGUGAACAAACUCACAACAUAAAAUGGAAAAAAUGUCUACAUAUCUGACAAAAUCAAAAUGACCGUAAGCACAUGUCUUUGGAUCCGUAUCAUAGAAGCCAAACAAAUAAAGAAAUAUUUAGAGAGAGGCAACCAGUUUUUUCUUUUUUGAAUGGCAAAGUAUGAAUAUAAAUAAAUAAAGGAGGAAACAAGUCCCAAAUAGAUAAAUAUUUAGAGCAAGGUAAUCAGAAUCGGACCGGUCUUUGAACCGGUGUGCUAAUGGGUUUGAGGUUUUAGGGUUGGACCGGGGUUCAACCGGGAUCGGACCGGUAUUAAGUAAAUAUACAUUUUAAAUUUUAUAUAAUUAAAAAACAUACAAAAAUAAUAUAAUAUUCAUAUUUUUGUACAAAUUAUUUAUAUAAAGUAAUACUUUUUUUGGGAAUAAAUUAACUAUUUUUUUAAGAGGUAAUAUAAAUUAAGGUGGCCCCUAGUAUGGUCCCUUUUUUUAAAGGUCCAACCAUGGACCUCAUAAAAUGACCGGUUAUAGCAGGUUCCCAUAGCUUCUUCCAGUUAAAAACAUUACCCAUAAAGGUGCAUCAAUAUCUAUGUGUGGGUGAAUUUGAAAGACAUGGAACUCCCAAAUUUCACUAUGCAUCUAAUUUAAGUUUACAAUUUCAUUUUCUGUGGAAGUUAAGAACAAAGUUUAUGAGUUUUUUUGUUGUUGUUGGAUUUGAAGUUUAUGAGCUUUUGAGUCAAGUUUGAAUAACAACUCACACAUUAAGUUACAACUUCUCUCAUCACAUAAUCCAACCCAUAGAAACCCAUACUCAUCUUAUGCUUAACAUAUGUGAACCCCACCACUCUCCCCCUCGUCAUAUCCUCUUAACUUGCAACCCCAACAAAGUGGAAUUGAGGACAGUUAGAUUUUGCAGAAUUUUUUGGUCCUUAAAUUUUCUGCAACUUCAUUCCAAGACAUAAAUCGUAAAAAUUAAAAACUCUGUCUAACCCCAAAACCUUUAAGCACCUCACACAGUAGAAUCUUAGUCAUGUGUUUUUUAAGAAGUUAAAGAACUUGGUCUGAUCCGUUUAAGAAAAGGACUUGGUGUGGCGGUGGAAGGAAGAGACGAAGCAGAGAGAAGAACAUGGAACUGCAUCUACCACGGGCUAUAUCAGGUCAUAUUAGAAGGACCACAGUUGGACCUUAAAAAAAAAGGACCAUAUCAGGGGUACCCAUAAAUUAAUACUUACUUAUAAUUACAAUUUAUAUGAAUUGAUACGUAUAUGUUUUUAUUUAAAGCUAGUGGGUCAUGUAGCUUGGUUAGGCCCAAAACACUAAUAUAAGAGUUGUAACCCUAAUUCAAUUUGUAUUGACCACACCAUUUUCUUUUUGUCCAGUACCAGUAUGUGCGGCGCAUCUCACCAUUAUCAGUAUUCACUUGCUAGUUGCUUUUACCUCAGUACAUUUCUUGUUUCUUCAAAUUAUCCUCUUCUUCUUUCUGUUUCUUCUUUAUGUAUCUACGUAACCCAACAUUUAUGCCUCAUUUCUAGCAACUCGUGUGUUGUUUUGAAUUUUUUAAGAUGAAAAAGGGAAAACCGGUUUGACCUGCAGAAUCGAUCGAACCGCCGGUUUUCUGGUUUUUUUACCGGUUUUCAACCGGUUUCCCGGUCUGCUAUCCGGUUCUGUAAACUAGCAGUUUAUGGUGCCAACCGAACCGGACAAUGGCCCGGUUCACGGUUCAACCGGUCGAACCGGAUGGUCCGGUCCGGUUUUGAUAACCUUGAUUUAGAGAGAGGAAACCAGUGACAGUGAGUGAGAAAGUAGUUUAUACAUAAAGAUGAUAAAGAAGAAUGCGAAAUUUGACAGCUAGCACAUACUAUUUCUACUAAAGAAAUAGGUCAAAAUCUCUUCAAAAGUAGUCUUGGGAUGCAAGAAACAAAAUUUGAACAUAUAUAAAUCUAAACUAUUGGUUAAACUACUCGAUGAAACGACUCCAAGACAAGGGUAAUAGCUUCCACGGCUUUGAUGCUCCUAAACUCUUGGUAAAUCAGAAGGAUUCAACUGCAUGAUCCAACAUUGUAAGCAUCAAAUUGUAUUUCUCCAUCUAUAAAUAGACUUGCACAUAAUUUAAAGGUUAAAAUAUGGUUUUGAUCCCUACAAAUAUGCAUCGUUUUAGUUUUAAUUCCUGUAAAACAAAUUUGUUGUUUUUGAUCCCCGCAAAAUAUUUUGUUUUUUAAAAUAGUCCCUCCAGGGACUAUUUUCAAAAGUAAAAUAUUUUGCAGGGACCUUUUUAAAAAUCAAAAGAUUUUGCAGGAACUAUUUUUCUAAUAAAUGGAUUCAGUUAUUAUGUGUCACGCUUGCAAAUCAUCACAAAAGUGGGGAGAGGGACCAAAACCAAAACGAGACAUAUUUGCAGGGACCAAAAACAAAACAAAAAAUUACAGGGACUAAAACCAAAACGGGGCAUAUUUGCAGGGACCAAAACCAUAUUUUAGCCUUAUUUAAAAAGUGAACAAAACACAAGAAUAUUUUAAUCGUGCAUACCUGUUUAACCACUUCACUUAUUGUGUCAUCCAAGGCACACAACUAUUCUGAAUGAAUCCAUCUAGAGAAAGCAAUUGCUCAUAAAAGCAAUCACCGUUUGAUUCCAUAGUUCUUUCAUCUGAAUAAAAUUUCUCAACUUCAGGCAUCUGAGUGAUUAAUGAACUAUUAGUUUGAGCUAAACCAUGUACCAUGGAACUAGUGUCUCCAUUAGAAGAAGCAAGAUAAUCCAAGGUAUUGUUGAAGGAAGAACUCGCAUUUUGAUGUUGUGUGUACCAUGGAGCAUUUAUAACAUUCCCAAGUAAGCCAUCUUGACAUUGCAUUGUUUCCUCCAAAGGAACAGCAACAAUGUCUGUCGAAGAAAAAUGAGAACUGGGAGAAGCAAACUUAAAGUUAUUGUGCAACAUUUGAUCAUUGUUAAAAUCCUCACUCAAUGGAACAGAAUUGGAAGCAAAGUUAGAGGAACCACUUGUGACGGGGUUAAAAGAUUGUGUUUUCACAGCAGCACCUUCAACAUGAGAGUGAUUGAUAAAUGCUCCUGAUUUAUGUGUUUGUAUGUGAUUGCUUGAGAUGCAAGAAAGAGAAACAUUUGCAUUAUUGACAGUGGCUCCGAUGUCUUGGAAGCUAGAGGAAUCUGUAACUGCAUUUGAAUCAUCAAUUGGACUUAAAUUAAUGUUAUCAGGCAGAUAAAUAUUCUGCUGAAACUGGUUGAUGUCCAUUGACGUUUGAAUGCCAUGUACAGAACUCGAACUUUCACUUUCAGAAAACAUUGGUGUCUCGAAAUUGGGAAUGUUAUGAGACUGAAGUGGAGGGACUAGUGCAGAAGAACUCAUUCCUUCCAAGUUCAAACUGGACGGUGCGUUCAGCCGACAAAACAUGUCAUUGGAUGCAUAUGCUGGCAGUAUGCUGCUUAGGACUCUUGUUGAUCCAGAUAAGGUGCAAAAAUCCCCAUAUCCACCUACUGAACCCUUUUGCUGGUAGGGAUCCAACGCAUCAUCUCCUCUAUCCUGUUUAGAUAGCCAUUUGAUAUCAAUUCUGUAUCUCUGCAAUCGAAAACGAAAAUGAGGUUACACGCAGUUUUUAUACUUACGUUUCAUAAACUUGCUUGCUGAAGUUUCAAUGAGCAACGGAUCAUUAUUUAUCUACAAGAACAAGUUAAAAAGUAAAUUAUCCCCUUUAACUUCGACAGUAUUUGCAAAAUGGAGGCGAUCAAAUAUUUUCAUGAUAAACUAGUCUGAGAUUUCUUUACAAAAGGGAAAGUUAUAUAUAAUUUGUACCUGCAAAUGGCUGGAUACAUUUUCCCUUGUAAGUCCUUCAACAUUCAUCAAGUCAAGUAUUUUCUUAGGCGAAGCCUCUGCAAUAACAGUUGAAGAAACUACAUAUUAGGAACAAUAAUAUCCAUAUUUAACAAUCAUUCAUCAAAUUAGCAAAGUAAAAAAAAAAAUAUCAUUGUCACAUAAACUCACUGUCAAGGCCGACAUGAUUAACUGCAGAAACAAAUUUUCGAUGCAACUCAUGAUCCCAAACUAAACGAGGCUUCUUUCGAGUCGAACAUUUCUCAUCAUUAUCUUGUUCUGCUUCUUCCUCCUCAGUUUGUUCCUUUCUUUUUCGUCCAUGCAUUUUAUUCUUGUUAGCAAUAUUUUCAGAUGAGGUGUCUUGACCAUAUACCCCAUCACUAAUGAUACCUUGAUUUUGAUCCUUGCUUUCAAUCUUCUUUCUAACUACAUGUUGCCAUAUGCUCUUAAGCUCUUCCAUUCGGAUCGGUUUCACUAGAUAGUUGCAAGCACCGUGUAUAACACUCUUCAUCACCUUCUCUAUAUCAUCAUUUACUGACAACACUAUAUAUCACACACAAAAAAUCGUCACUUAGAUACAAUCUGAAUAUAAGAAGUGGAUCUUAAUUAGGUAAACAAUACAGAUUUUAAGACAAAGGUGUGUGAGCUUACUGAUGAAAGGUAAAUCCAUUUCAAGUCCAACUUGCUCAAGGAGCUUGAAGCCAUCCAUGUCUGGCAUGCUAACAUCACUAAUUACUAGGUCAAACAUAUCCUUCUUUUCUCUCAACAAUUCUAGCGCUUCCACAGGUUUCGUAGUUGUAGUAACUGCAACAACCAAGAAUCAAGCUAGUGAUUUAGUGAGUAUUACUUGUAUCCUACUACUUGUACUUAACUCAUAUUUUUUAAUAAAAUUUUCUUUUGCCAUUCAGAAAAAAUAAACAAAAAAAGCACUAAAUAUGUCAGCCCAAUAAAACAGUAAUAAUCUUUAAAAAGUUUAAAAUUUCAACUUUAGAAGUAGAGAAAACAGAUGACCCUUUUGUUUUUGAUUUUUUGAAGACAAAAAUUCUAUUUUUUUAACCAAAAAAAUACUUAUAUGAUUUUAUAGUGUUUGUUUCAGAUUUUUUUUUUAAUAUUUUGUUAAAAAAAUGGAUUAAUUUUUAGCCUCAAAACGAAAAGUUAUUCGAAAAGUUUUUUCAAAAUCUAUUUUUCUUUUAAGAAAAACAAGGAACUCAAGUGUAAGUACUUUAAAUCUUUAAAAAAAUAUAUAUAUAUAUGAUAGUAAAUAAACGGAAAUUAACUUCGUCUUUUUUUUUUUUGACAAAAACUUCAUCUUUUUUUAUAAAUCUCAAAAAUAAUAUUUACAUUUUACAAAAACAAAAUAAUUUUAUUUUAAGCCAAAACAAACACUCCCAGAACAGUCUUGACAAAAGAAUGAAUUUAUGUAUUUAAAAUCAAGAAAAUUGUCAACCGAUAUAUGUGUGAGUAGGUAGCUUUAGUGGUAGACAUUCGGGCACUGGAAGACUUAUAACCUAUGAAGCAUAAAUAUACACUAACACAUGACAUGCGUCAAAGUUGCAUCGGACACUAAUACAUAUCAGACUCCAAACACAUUUAUAUAGCCUAUGAUAAAUAGGUCGUAGUUCAUGUUGUAAUAUGAGUAUAUGACUCAAAAUUGGUGUUUAUGAAACUGCCAAAUCGACGGCCGAUUUGGAGAAAUUGGAACCCGAUUUUGGGUGCUGUUUUAAGACUUCUGUCUCGUAAAAAAUCGGCGCCGGAUUUUUGCUAAUGUAGAAAAAACAUAAACGUUGAUGAAAAGUGAGAGAUGUAGAGAGUAGAAAAACAAGGGCUUAGAAGCCAACAAUAAAACUAGGGUUUGUAAAGUUUUCUCUUUGCAACAAACACUAGGGUUGGGAUUGAAUCAUCAUUGAUUGAUUCACCAUGGAGAAACACUAUUAGAAUUGAGUCUCUUGGUCACUGGAAGAGAUUCAAGACUUUAGGUAGAAUUAGGUUUGAAGACUGAUUCUUGUAACUCUUUGAUAUCUCUUUGUAAAGUUACUCAAAAGUUAUAAUGGAACGGAAAGCUGCUCUCUCCCCCCAGAGUAGGUGUCAGUAUAUUUUCGUGUGUUCUUUCUCUCUUUCUCUUUUGUUGUUCUAUAUUUUACUUGUGUUUAUAAGUGUCACCCACAUUGUUUUGGUUGCUUGAUUAAUUUGCUCCACACAUCAAGUUUUAUUGAUGUAACUUUUUAACGAAUUCACGACAGUUCAAACCCUGAAAACUAACCUUAUCACCAAUUUACUGGAAAAAAGAAUUAAGGUUUACUAUAUCGACGCCUCAAAGAAGAAGAAAAAAAAAAAAGGUUUCCUUAUAUCAAAGCUACUUCCAAUAUAUGUUUACACCGUUGCAUGUGGAGAAUAGUAAACAUAAAGAAUAAUCAAUGCUUAAUCAUAUUGAAUGAACGAAAAAGAAAGGCAACGAACCAUUAUAGUUGCAUGUGAGAAGUUGCUUCUCCAGCACUUUGAGAUAAGUUGGAUCGUCAUCAACUGCCAGAACACGCAUACCCGCCGGAAAACCUUCUCCUAAAACAUUGACAACACCGAAACUAUCCUCCACAACCACAACCAUCAUGAACUAGAAUCAAAUACUCGAAUGAGAAAAACAAGUAGUGAUCAGUGAUCACACAAAUAACAGACGAAAAAGUUCUAAAUUUUCAAAGGAAAUAGAAAAAAAAACUCAAGAAAAACCCUAGAGAGAAAAAAACACAAGUGUAGUCAAAGGCUUUGUUCUGCUAUUUGUCGUUGUGAACUUUUCUUAACAAUACAAAAAAGUAGGGUCUUAAAAAAAACACAAAAAAGUAGGGUUUCGUCUCUAAUUAUAUAUGUCGAAGAUUUGUUGUGGAUAGCGAACAAAAAUAGUGCUUACACUCUAAACUUGCAAGGAAAGAAAUGAUUCGAUAUUGAUAAGAUAUUUUCCAAAUUUAUUAUCUGUUUUUUUAAGUAAUGAUUAAUAAAAAAUAAAAAAAAGUAAUGAUUUUUAAUGCAACAAAACAAGUGUAACCCACCGAGUCCAUAAGUUCUACCUCAAGUGUUUUUUUUUUUUGGUAGAUAUACGAAAUGGCAAAGCCAUUAUAAACUUACACACAUAAAUGAAUGUACCGGGGUUCAAACCUCGAUCAUGGCAUCCGGCCUAACAAUUUCGGCAUUUUGCCAGUUGAGCUAGGACUUCUAGAUUACCUCAAGUUUUUUUUUUUUUUUUUUUUAGUACAAAAGAGGGUGGAAGCCCAAAAGAGAAAACUAAACAAUUACACGAACAUUUAUAGGCAUACAAGCUCCAGAGAUGUCAUCAAAGAAGAGACUAUUGAGCUCACUAGGAGGGGUCUCCAAAAUAGUAAAAUUCCAUGAAUCCAUGGUAAAGGCUGAAGUUGGCAAGCCAAUCAGCACUUCAGUUGCCUUCUCUCAAAGUGUGAUGAACCUGAAUACGCCGAAUGAGUACAGGGGUUGUCCCAUUCAUCUUGCAAUUAUUUGUUAUCAUAUCAAUAAGCAAUUUUGAAUCACUUUCAAUGCAAAGCUGAGAAAUACCGUCCCUCCAAGCCAACUCUAGACCAAGGUACAUACCCCACAUCUCUGCAUGAAGAGCAUCACAAGUGCCAAUCUUGCGGACAAAACCUUUGAUCCAUCUACCAUUAGCAUCCCGAAGUAAGCCUCCACAACCCGAGCGAUCUCCAUUCUCUUUGCAAGCUCCAUCACAAUUGAGUUUGAUCCAUCCCUCUUGAGGAUAUUUCCAGCCAAUAUAAAUUGUUUCAGUGUGUCGAAGAUCCAUUUGAAAAUGAUUAAGUGUACAAUCUUCAAUAUCACUAGUAAACUUUUGGAUGAUACUUGUGGGAUUCUCCGUCUCUGGAAAUUUUCCUCGAAGACUGUCUUGUUUCGCCAUUUACAAAUAUACCAGCAAGUAGUCAUGAAAGUUGUCUUCCAGUUAGAGUUGAGAUCUCUGUUUUGACGCUUGUUGAGGUUUGUAAAAACCCAAUUCCUGCAAUCAAAGGAAAAAAAGUCAGUUAUACAAUCUGAAGGUACAAGUCUGAUCCAUACCUGAGUUGCAUAAGUGCAGUCUCUGAGUACAUGAAGAGUAGUCUCAUCCUCACUCCCACAAGAAGGACAAAUUGGGGAUAUGUCAACACCCCAUCUACUUCGACGGUAAUUAGUUAAAAUGCGAUCAUGAGCAACCAAUCAAAUGAAGGUUUGAAUAUGUUGCAGACCCUUCCAAUUCCACAAACUUUUCCAAUCCCCUCCGGUAUUAGCAUGAUUUCCGUAAAAUAUAGGAUUAUUUUUUGAAUUUUUUUUUAGUUUUUUAAAAUAUAUCAACUUUUAUUUUAUUUGUAUAGUGAGUCCCUCUUCUUAGCUUUGUUCCCUUAAAAUUGAUAGUAUCUACAAAAAUAGAACACUUUUGACAAAAACAAAAUAAAUGACCAUCACAUCAUGCAUUAUUUUUCGUUAGACCAUAGCUUUUAACCUACUUUUAAGGAUAUUUUUUUAAAGAGAAAUGAUAUUUGAACAACCAUUAUUAAACAAUUUUUGUGACAACUUUCUCUUUCAUACUCACAUUUUACUUUUAUUUUCUCUCUUUCUUUUUCUCUCUCUAUUGUUAUUGUCCAAUGAAAAGAGAGGAAUAAAGGUUGUCCCUAAAGUUAUUUUAUUUUGGUUGUCCAAAUAUCACUUCUCUUUUUUAAAGUUGAACUUGAGAUUGCGUAAUCUUGUGAACAUCACACAAUCUAUGUCUUCAAACUUAACAGCAAAUCAUGAAGAUGUCAAUGAUUCAAAAUACUAAAAGACACUGUCAAUUACGGCCUCGGAGUACAACAUCAUUGUUGAUUGGUUUAAUACUUGUUAAUUAUAAGAUGUCGAUACACUUUUAUUAUGAUGAACCUAUAUUUAUACAUAUGCAAAACAACUUUACCAUAAUUUUAAAUCAAGUAGACAAUAACUAAACAGGAAAACAAAACACCACUAAGGAGUUCACCACCUAAAUAAAGCUGUCACUAUCUCAACAGGAUUUAGAUCAAAGACAUCAUCAAGAAAUUGAUCAAAAAGAAAAGACACUGUCAAAAGAAAAUUGUCGGGUCCUAGACAUCCUAUAAUUCUAAUAAACUCAUUGUACUGAGUGCCAAUUGAAAAACCUAUGAAGCUAAAGACUAAGUGACAUGGGCACUAUUGAAGUUGAGGGUAAAUUUCCAUAAACAAACUGAUUAUGAAACCUCAAAAAAGAUGAACCUAUCUUUUAACAAAUCCUAAGCAUUUGGUAUGUCUGGAAUCAGUGAUACUAGGACUCUGAGUGAGUUGUUUGUUUGUUUGGGAAGUGAUAGAAAGUUUAUCCAUUGCGUUGAUAAACUUGCGCAAAUACUUGAUGUACUCGGGGAAAGUUUCAAGGUUGCAAUGGCCUCCACCUUUAACCCACAAGGGGUCAUAUUUUUCCUUUGAGAGCUCCCACAACCGCUUUCCAUGAGAACAAUCCACAAUUUCAUCUUCUGUUCCCUGUAAACAAUCCAUAAGCAGAAACAAAACUAUUAUUAGUGUCAAAAAAUAUCCAUGUCAGUUGUGAUGCUUUCUGCAGACUAUAAAGUACCGAAUCCGUAAAUAAUGAGACUAAGCAAUAUUAUACAACAAAAACUUGAAAGCCAUAAUAAUUUUAAUACUCGAAAUCAGCUCCAUUUACAACAAUGACUAUAAUGCUAUUGCUACAUGUUGUUCGGCCAUAUCUCAUAAACUAGGCAACAACUAAAAGUUUCCAUAUUCUGAAAUCUCCCCAAUGAUUGUGUUGUUCGCUCUAAAACAUAACAAAAGAUAUCAAUUUCAGUAUUUCUUCUAGAACUGGAAAAAGAAGUUAUUAAUCACUGUCGUUAAGCACCAAAAAUGUUGUGUGGUUACCUAUUCUAUCAAUAGUAUUGGUACUUGGUAGAAUGGGGACACGGAGUGAUAGAUAAAUGCUAGAUAUUCAUUAAACAUCUUUUGUAACAGACAUACAUAGGAUAACUAGUGUAGACUGCUCAAAAUAAAAAUGGAAGCAGCAUUUUUCCAAAAGCCAUAUAUUUUAUAAAUCUAUGCUGGAUACGAAGUUCCAAUCAGACAGAAGAUAUAAUCUACAUAUUGACAUCCCACCAUGAUGACCAUCCACUAAAUAUACACAACAAAUUGAACAUCAUUUAGAUAUUUUAUAUCUUUACUUGAACUGUAGAUUGUUGUUGUGCCUUUAGGUUAACAAUGCAUGAAAAAGGGUAAUAACUGAUCAGCGAUAAAGAGACCCUACUCACUACAAACGGAUGCACCAUAGGAACUGAACUGUACUCAUCCGCCCCCCUUUUCAGUUGGAGUUUCAUAGGAGAGGUCCAUUAGGGGCACUAGUUAUUCUAAGAAACACAAGAAUGAGACAGACUGAUGUCUUCAGUGUUUAUUCCAGAACCUAAAUUUCAUUAUUGUAUUGUUCUAAAGGAGAUGAACAGAUUGACACAAAACUUAACCUACCUAUUAACAUAAUCUUAAGAUAUUUACUAAACAGGGAGAAAAAUAUAAUGUGGCGACAAUACAAGUCAAAAAAACAUUUCUAUACUUUGUUAUAAAAUGAAAUGCUAAUAAAAAAUACCAGUAUUCAAACACCACCAGGUCCCUGAACAGUCGAAAUAAAACAUUUAAAAAAAAAAAAAAACAUUUCAGUGGAUGGAUUACUACUACCUCCAGAAAGAAAAUUCAAUUGAGCACAACUUUUCGGCUCAGACUUUCGUUGUUCUUAUCAUCUGAUAGGGUAGAUUCAGGAUCGCUCGUGCAAAAGGCUCCUCUCCACUCAGUACCCAUUUUCACUCACCAAAAAGGUACUAUAUACUUUUUCUAGGGCUUUAGAAGAAGAUAGGAAAAAAAAAAUAUAUAUAUAUGUUUUUUAUGGAUGGAUCUAAAGCUGACACGGAAGACAGAGGAAUUUAAUGAGGAGAGCAUGGGAUCAAAUGGAAAUAAAGCAAUGAGACAAACACAGGGGUUGUUUUGACUAAGGAGCAAGCACAAACUUUGACUAGGAAUGCGGGUGGUAAUUCAUUGGUAUAUCCAAAUCAGGUUUUGAAUACUAGAUGGGAAAACAAUGGGAUGAUUUGUUUAUGAUACACGCUAAUCAUGUGCACUUGGCUUUGUAUGACAUACGCAAUCAAGCAUUCAGACUUCAGACUUGAGCUAUUCUUUUCUAAUUGAGGGUUAAGUCAAGCUUUCAUGUGGACAAAAUCAUCAUCAAGCUAAAUAGGAAAUUACAGAAACGCCGUAUCAGGACAGAAGCCUCAAAAAGAAACGAUUGAUCAAAUAUAACCAGAAAAGGGAACACAAUUGCAUAAACUGAUUACAUACAUAGAUGGAAAGAAAGACAUACUUACAUGUAUAACAAACACCGGACAUUUGACAUACCGAAUUUUGUCUAUAUUCUGAAACGAAAUUGAAAACUUUUGUUACUACAAAACUCAGUGCUAAAAAUUAUGGCAGUGGUAUAAGAAUUGUAUGGCAAAACUUACUUUGAAAAUGUCAAACCAAAAUGUGACCUUUACAGGGUACAAGACCCUUAAUCCAGAAAGAAUAGCACUGUGAAGUACAACACCUCUCAAUUUUUGCAAUUUAGAAGCCAAGUGUGUCGUUGGUCCACUUCCAACGGAUUGACCAUACAAAAUCAAAUCUUCUUGCUUAAAUCCAUAUUCAUUCCUCAAUAAAUUAUAUACAGCCUCUAUGUCGUAAUACGUGUUGAACUCAGAUGGCUAUCACAGUUGGAAAGAAUAUAGAUAAAUGUUAGAUUCACUUGGAUAAAAACAUAAUUCAACCAAAAAAUUGAUAAUUUGUGUUACUCAAAACCUCUUCAUAUUAGUAAAAUGAGUUACUUACCUUACCUGUGGAACGUCCAUAACCAGAAUAGUCAUAGCUGCAAAAUAACACAAAGAUCCAAGAAAUACUUAGAAAGAUCUUUUGUUUAUACUUCAAAAUGAAUUCAAAACAACACCAUAAAGCUACCAAGUCUCUAUUAUCAUAUGAAUUAUUAGUAACCAUGGCUAAUUAUUAAUUAACAGACAAAAACUGUUGUAUUAAUAAAAGCAUGCAAAAUUGUAUAUAAGGGAUUAAGAAAAGAAACCUCAUGAUAUUGACACGAAGAUGAGCUCUAAGCUCAAUGAAGAGGUCACGCAUCUGACCCAAAUCAGCAGCAUUACCAUGAGAGUACAAUAUAGUAAACCUUGCAAAAGGGUGUUUCCACAACGUAGCAACGAUCUUAUUGCCUCCUUUUGUGUCUACAAUAUGAACGUCGACGCUUUUAUCCGUCGUGCCGGAAAUCUUCAACACCCCAUCAUCGUUCUCUUUGUAAACUUCGUAUGUUGGUGGCUCCGGCGGGAAAAACGCAAACUUUGCCGCCACCGUUCCCGUGACAUUACCCAUUUACAGAACAGAAGGGAUGAAACAAAAACAAUUUUGUGGUGGUUUAAACUACGAAAACAUUAUAUAGAACAAAAAAGAAAGAGUUAUUUUGGGUAAUGUUCGAAGAUUUCUGGGUAUAAUUAUGUGUGUGCAAAAAGUUGAUGAGAUUGUUAUCUUUUAUUUCUAUAAUGUAUAUGAUUUUGAAGAAGAAAAAAAAAGGAAAAGGAAAGAAAAUAUUUUUGAUUUGAGAAAGAGAAGAAGGAAAGGUGAAUGUCCGUAGUAAACGGGUGAGCUGGAAGGAACAACAUCUUCUGCUAUCACCAUUCAUCUUUUCCCUUUCUUUCCUUCCUUCUCUCACCUUUUCAUCCUUUUCAUAAGAUACAAUAUUACUAUUUUAUUACCAUUUUAAUGAUACUGAUUAUUACAUGUUUUUUUUUUUUAAUAUUCAUAAGUCGGAAUUUGAAUUGGAUUCCUCAUUCAUUCAUUUUAAGAUGAAUUACUUUUUUUAUUACGUACAAAUGUACUAUUUAAUAUUGACAAUUUUAGAUAAUAAAAUGUUGGAUCUCAUAAAAAAAAUAAAAAAUAAAGUAAAAUAAAUUUUCCUUUAAAAAAAAGUGUUGAUAUAUUUUAUUUUUAUUAAAUUACAAAUAUCUUGUUUCUUUCUAGCUAUUCCCUAUUUUUGUCCUAUCCAAUUUAAUGAUAUAUUCCCUUUGAAAUAAAAUAAAAUAUAAACAAAAUUAUCUUGUUUUUGGAAUGAAAUAUAAACGAAUCUUAACAAAUAUCUCUCGUAUUUAAUGAUAAUAUAUCGAUAUGUCUCUCGUUUGAUUUAACUUUUUAUAAAAUCCGAUAAUGAGUUUAUUAAUCAAAAAAAAUUAUUUAAACACUAAUUUAUUUAUUAUUAUACCAUAAAUUAAUUAAAAAAACUUCUCUCAAAUUAAUGAUAAUAUAUUAAAAUAUCUCUCAUUUGAUUUAAUUUUUAAAAAAUCCAACAAUUAUUUUAUCAGUCAAAAAACAUUAUUUAAACACUAAUUUCUUUAUUAAUAUACCAUAAAUUAAUUAAAAAAACUUCUCUCGCAUUUAAUGACAGUAUAUUAAAAUAUCUCUCAUUUGAUUUAAUUUUUAAAAAAAAUCAUCAAUUAUUUUAUCAAUCGACGAAAAUUAUUUAAACACUAAUUCAUUUAUAAUGAAUGAAAGAAAUUGUUAAAGAAAAAACUUAGGUUCACUUAAAAAAAAAACUUAGUUCAGUUCCACAUGUGCGUUAUUUGUCGUUCCUCUAAUAAAAAAGACAUUUCUUUGUGUUAAUUUUUUUUUUUUUUUAUUUUGAAAAAUGUUUGUCUUUUAUCUUCGUUACGUUUACUUGAUUUCUAUGUUCUUAACCGUAGAACACUUUGUACCGUACAAUGUUACUAGUCUGACUCCUGACCGAUAGAAUUUUCCUUUCAACUUAAGUGGUAUUUUCUUAUCACAUAAAACACCAAAGCUUUUCUCCAUUUCAACCACAUGAUUUGAAUACAAGGAUUUACAUCUGUUUCUAUUUCUCCAUCAUUUUAUACCAUGGACCCAAGAUAUUUAAGCAAUUGAUUUGGGUAUGAUAUUCACAUUUCAGGUAGAAUUAUUUUGCCUUUUGCUGAAGUUACAUUUCAUAUACUCUAUCUUGCUUAUACUCAGGCAAAAAUCAUACAUUUCUAAGGUCCAUCUCCAAGUCUCUAACCUUCCAUUCAAUUCCUCAAUCGAGUCUCAAAGCACAAUUAUAAAAUGGUGCUCCAAAUUCUUACAUUAGUCAUUACUAGCAACUUUUAGCACGGUCAGAAUCAAUGUCAAUGGCAACCAAGGGAAGAGCUUGGGAAUACUAAAGUUUUUCCUUUUCACUUUAUUUUCUAUUAUCAUCAAAUGGCUGUAAAGGAGCAUAAGGAGUCAAAAGUAUUUGCAUAGACCGCUUAGAAUUCGGUGCACCAAACUUUCAGAAGGAAGGAGAAAAAAGACAUUGGAUAGUAAUAUUACAUCACACUUUUAUAGAAUCGCAGGCUUUAAAAAGGCGUCAAGGGUAAAUCCAAUAUGCAUGACAAGCUGCUGAUUGGUGUUGACCCAUUGGAUAGUACUAAUGCAAUAUGCAUAAAAAGGUGAUAGUAUUUGUGUAACAUAACAUAUCAUAUGCUAUUUGCAUGGUUAAUCAAAUGAUAUUACUUCUUUCGUUUGAGUAAAUCAUUCACCUAAAGAUGACCAAACAGUCAGCAUCAAAGUUUGGUCCUCUUUAUUUAUCCUUUACUUUGGAAUAUCUCAAUGUUAUGGGAGGCAUUUCAUGGACCACAUAUGGGAUCACAAGCUCACAAAUAAUCUGCUGCAAUUGUCAUUGGGUCCAUUAAAAACCUAACGUGAAAAUGAUAUAGACGUGCCCAAUCAACAUCAGAAUUCAUGCACAGUACUUAUAAUUGCAAAAAAAAAUAAAAAUCACUGAAACGGGAGACAAACAGACAAUAAACAACGCCGAUAACUAAAUAUCGGAAAAUAAAAUGGCAUCACAUUAGAAGUUCCGAGUAAAAGAGAACACACCAUGACAAAUGAUGAUAGAUGAAACAUCCUGGAUAACCCAACAAAACAUAUGAAUAUCUUUUCUGAUAAAUGAAACACAAGAAUUACCUAAAUCUAAAAUAAGCAGUUAGUAUCAAAGCCCAUGCCAAUUCUACACCGUAUAUUUACGUUAAAUACAAUGUAUUCGUUUAGAUAAGGAAAUAGCAUCAAAGCAUAUGUGACCUCGGAUUGUAUUCAUCUAUGCAUUAAAUACCAUGUGAUAAUUGAUUCUUAAUUAGUUGCCUUCAAAUAAUACAUGUUCUUCUUUUAAGGUGGUCCUGUCUUCAACAUUAAUUUUCCAAUUUUUCCAAAAUUAUUUUGGUAUUUGAUGUGACAAGCCAGCAAUGCAAGAGAAGAGAUUAUGUGCAUGUAAUAUAAGAAAACGAUCAUCUGGUGUACCAAGAGCAGUUUUCUGGAUUCUAUUGGCACUCAUCCAUGUUUUUGAAUCCAUAUCUAAGAAGAAGUUCAAAUUGGAUACAUCUAGAGCUACAAUGGUAACUUCAGUAAAGAUGGUAAAGCACCACAAAACAUUAAGUUCUACUGUUGCUUGUGCCUUUAUAAAAAUAGUGGAUAUUAAAGGGAAGAUAACGAACUUCAAAUUAUUAACUAUAUAUGCAAUUAACAUAUGGAAAAAAUUUGAAUCCAAAAUUAUUAGAUCAAUGAGAUUGUCGGUCGUUGAGUCUGUGUGUAAAAGAUGUUUGCAUGUUCACGUUGUAAAUUCAUAGUAAUUGCAUCCGAUCCUUUGUUUUAAAAGAAAAUGAAAUUAUCUAGAGUCUUUUGGAAGAAGCUAAGAGCAUGAAGCUUUUUUUUUUUACCUUGUAAAUUUGACCAAUCGUAGAAGCAAAAUGAUUGUAAAACUCACCUGUCAAAAAACAGUAAGUGUGCAACCGCCAAUGACAGAAAGCACGGUUUCUUAAAAUCCAGCCAUAAGAUAAAUGGAGUCUCAAUUUAGCAAAAUAAAUCCCUCAAACAUAGCAUAUACACGAGAUGUAUGACAUAGACCUACAUAUAUCUUUGGUGUAUCUACACAUACCAUCUAAAAAAGUUCACUAUCAAUGCUUCAUAGAACGGAGUAGAAUGUGACAUGGACUUAUGUUGUUCUUAUCAUCUGAUAUAGUAAAUUCAGAUCACGUGUGCAAAAGUCUUUUCUUCACCCAGUACCCAUUUUCACUCAUAAAAAAUGUAUUAUACACUUUUUAUAUGUCCUAAUUAUAAGAUAAGAAAAACCAGAAGUUUUGUUUCUUUUAUAAAUGGAUCAGUAGGUGACACGGAAGAUAGAGGAAUUUAGUGAGUAGAGCCAGGAAUCAAAUAGAAAUAAAUCCAUGAGACAAACUUAAAGUCAUUGAGUCUUUCAACCUUAUUUUAGGUGGGGUUUUUAUAUGCAAGUACACAGGUGUUGCUUUGACAAAAGAACAAACACAAACUUUGACUAGGAAAGUCGGUGGUAACUCGUUAAUAUAUCCAAAACGGUUUUUGAAUACUAGGCAAGAUUAACAAUGGGAUGAUUUAUCUAUGAUAUACGCUAAUCAUGUGAGUUCCUCCUAUAAUCAUAUCCUCCUUUAGGUUUUUCUUUGGAUAUGUCAACAAUGAGGAAUGUUUCUAGCAAUACAAGUCAGAGACCAACUUCCAAUGCGCUUGUUCAGUUUCAUCACCAUAAUUUGAAUUUCCCUCACCUUAUGAUGAUUGCAAUGGAGAACAUCCCUCCAACAAGAGAUUUGAGCCUUGCUAUGAGGUAGUAGUUGAGGUUGAUAAGAAGUUCAUUGUCAACCUUGCAACAUAUAAUUGAAUGUUUUACUGACUUUGAUUAUGUAGAAGUUGAGUUUUCAUUUAGUUUAUUUGUUUUUACCAUUGCCUUCUGUCAUUUCAUCCUACUGUUCUUCCAUGACAAUGACAUUUCACAGAAUGGUAGAAAUACAUAAACUAAAUGAAAACUCAACUUCAACAUUAACAAUAUAAAAAGUUAGUAAAAUAUUCAAUUAUAUAUAGUGAUGUUGCCAGUGAUUUUCUCAUUAAUAUUUGCUACUACCCCAUUAUCAAGGCUCGAGUCUCUAAUCGGAUGGAUGUUCUCCAUUGAAAGUAGUUAAACUGAACAAACACAAUGGGAGUUUGGCUAUGACUCAUAUAGCUAGCAACAUUCCUCAUUGUUGCCACUCCUAAAGCAAAAUCUAAUACAGGAACCGAUAGAUACGGGAACACACUUAUUAGCAUGUAUCAGAGACAAAUCACCCCAUUGUUCAUCCCACCUAGUAUUCAAAAAUCGUUAUGGAUAUAUCAACGAGUUACAACCAGCAUUCAUAGUGGAAGUUUGUGCUUGCUACCUAGUCAAAACAACCCUAGUAUAAUCUCAUAUAAGAGUUCCAGCUUGAAUAAGGUCCCAAAGACACAAUGGAUUUAUGUUCGUCUCAUUUGGCUUUAUUUCCAUUUGAUCUCAUGCUUUCGUCACUAAAUUCCUCUAUGUUUUGUGUCACCUUUAAAUUCAUGCAUCAAAACAAACAAAUUUUUAUUCCCAUAUCUUCUUCUUAAGCCAUAGAAAGGGAUAGAAAAAGUGCAUAUUACCUUUUUGGUGAGUAAAAGGUAGAGGAGAGCUUUUUGCCCACACGAUCUGAAUCUACUGCAUCAGAUGAUAAGAAUGACAAAAGUCCAAGUCCUAUCCUUCCACUCACUCGAAAUAAAACAUCAGAUGAGUAAAAACAAUGAAAAUUGUUCCAUAAUAUCAUGAAGGAUUAAGAAAAGAGGUAGUAGAGUAAAACAGGGAUAUCAAAAUUAAAUAAACUAAGAAAACGAGAUAAAAGAUGGAAGCAAACCUGGUGAUAUCAACACGAUAUUGAGCUCUAAACUCGAUGAAGAGAUAAAGCAUCUGAACCAAAUCAUCCGAAACCAAAAAAUACCAACACUGUUUAUGUGACAUUGACAGAGGAAGAAAAAUGAAACGCGCUUGAGGGAUGAAACAGUUUUGUGGUUUAUUUUGACAUGAACCAAAACUAUAUAUAGAACAAAAAAUAUAAAACCAUUUUUCUGUGCAUAGAAUCCUUAAUGCCAUUUUCCAAGGUAUCAUCUUUCAAUUCUCAUUGGAAAUUUGUACUCAUUGAACUACUAUCAUUUUCCAAUGCUAACUCAAUAAUUGUACUCAUUAGACUACUUUCAUUUUUCAAGGUUAAUCGUUUCAUACUCCUUUCGGUCACAUUUAUAAGCAAAAAAACAACUAAGUACAUUCAAUAAUUAAUGUAUCUAACCUAUAAACGUGACCGGAUACAUUAGUUAUUCAAUGUACUUAAAAAGUCAUUUUUUUACUUAUAAAUGUGAACGAAGAGAAUACUUGAUUGGAAAUUUGCACUCAAUAGACUGCUACCAUUUUUCAAUGUUAAUUCAUUAAUUACACAUGUCUAUGUAAGCAUGCAUACGUUACAAAACCUCCAUAAACCACUUUUAUGUGCAUUCGAUCUUUAAUGGGUGAAGCCUACGUUACCCUCUCUUGUUUAGAGGGUAAUUUACCUGCCUCAUGAUAUCAACUAAUCAAAAUGUAAGAUACAUAGAUAACAUUAAAUGUCAAAUAAAUGAGUAGAUUUUUUCUAAAAAUAAAAGAGUUAAUCUUAAUUAUUUUUUUUGAAGGAGAGUUAAUCUUGGUAACUUUUAAUACUUUUAAUUUUUUUUUUUUGAAACAACAAAUGAUUUAAUUUUUUUUUUAUAUUAAGGUGUUCAAUCUUAAUUAAUUUACACUACAAGACUUAUAACAGAUAAAAUUUUACAUCAAAUUUCUUUCAUCUUGAUGUCCUUAAAUUCAUCAUUUACAUUCAUAAAAUUUCUUCCAUUCCAGAACCCCGAACGUGAGAACAAAAACAUCUCCUUCUUUCAAAUUUCUUCUUCUUUAUUCUUCCAUAUUGAUCAUUUUUUGUUUCUUUUUCAUUCUUCUUCCCAUUUUGAUUGUUCAAUUUUGUCGUUCCAAAUUGCCGCAAUUUCCAAUUAUCGUGAGAAUUGUCGUUGUUUCUAGAACCGCGUCAGGUAUCGUGACUUAUUUUUUUUUAUUUAAGCAGCCAACCUAAUAAAAUCUGUUAACACGCAUAGACCUGUCUCGCUAUCAGCAAAAGUCUUUUAAGUCCAAAUAAAAGAACAAAAGCCUCAUCACAUAACCAUUUCAGCAACAACCAAAAAAUGCUAGCAAACUUCCACAACAUCACAGCGGCAACACCUGCUAGCAGCCCUCAAAGUACAACGGAUGAUUUACUCAAUUGUUAUAAUUAACUACAUCACAACCAAGAGAAAUCAAAUCAAAAAGAAAAAUCAAGUCAUCAUAUCUGACGUUGUACUGGAAAUAACAACAAUUCUCACGAUAUUUGAAAUCAUGACGAUUCUCACGAAAAUUGAAAAAUGCGGCAGUUGGGAACGACAAAAUUGAACAAUCAAAAUGGGAGGAAUAAAUUUUAUGAAUAUAACUGAUAAAUUUAAGGACAUUCAGAUGAAAGAAAUUUGAUGUGAAAUUUUAAUUGUUUUAAGCCGGUCUUGUAGUGUAAAUUAAUUAAGAUUGAACACCUAAAUAUAAUUAAGGCAAUAUUAUAUUAUGGGUCCUUUAUCUUAUUUAUUUGUAACACUUUGGUCCUUUGUCUUUAUUUUUUUCCGUUUAGGUCCUUUAUCUCUCUUAAAAGCACAUAUACAUCUUUUUUCGCAUUUUUUUUAUUAAAAAAUACAUAAUUUUAUUUUUAAAAAUAUAUUUUUAUUAAAACUGAAAAAAAAAUCCAAAAAUAUGAUGAAGAUGUUCAUCAUCUUCAUCUUCUUCCUUUGAAUCUUCAUCAUCUUCUUUAAAUAAAAAAAAAUUCUACUAAAAUAUAUCUCCAAAUAUCGUGAAUUAAUGUUAUAUUCACCUCAAAUCUUAUUUUAAACACAAAAAUCAAAACCUUAAUUUCAUAAAUGUUGCAAGGAGGAUGGUGGAGGCUUAGUCAUUGGCGGAAGGGUUAGGCUUUACGAAAGUUAAGAUUGUUCUGGAAACAACAAAAUUGAUGUGCAAAGUUGCUAUCAAUUUUGGGGUUAUUUUUAUGUCGGGCUUGAAUAUUGAGUUAGAAAAUAAUAAUAAUAAUAAUAAUAAUAUACAGCGUGACAAUUUAUAUAACAAUUUUUUUUUUGUGAUGAAACUAAAUCUCUUUCCCUAUAGGGGUUUGAUUUUUGUGUUUAAAAGAAGAUUUGAGGUAAAUAUAACAUUAAUUCAUGAUAUUUGGAGAUAUAUUUGUGUAGAAAUUUUUUUGAUUCAAUGAAGAUGAUGAAGAUUCAAAGGAAGAAGAUGAAAAUGAUGAACAUCUUCAUCAUAUUUCUGGAUUUGUUUCAUUUUUAAUAAAAAGAUACUUUAAAAAAUAAAAUUAUGUAUUUUUUUUAAUAAAAAAAUGAGAAAAAGGAUGUAUAUGUGCUUUUAUAAGAGAUAAAAGACCUAAGUGGAAAAAAAUAAAGAUAAAGGACCCAAGUGUAACAAAUAAAUAAGAUAAAGGAUCUCUAAUGUAAUCAUGUCUAUAAUUAAAUAAAAAUUAAAAGUAUUAAAAGUUGCCUUAUGAUUAUAAUUGAUUCUUUUUUUAGAAAAAAAUUGAUUCAUUUAUGACAUUUAAUGUUGUCAAUGUAUAUUACAUUUUGAUUGGUUGAUAUUAUGAGAGGGUAAAAUACCCUCUAAAUAAGAGAGGGUAAUCUAGAAAAAACCUCUUUAAUGCCAUUUUCCAAGACUUAAUCCUUCAUCUCUCAUUGAAAAUUUACACUUAUUAUGCUACUACCAUUUUAAAAUUCUAACUCAUUAAUUGUAAGAUAAAUGAUACUUGAACAACUAUUUUGUAAUAAUUUUUAGACAAUUUUCUCUCAUAUUCACAUGAUGUACUUAUUUCUCUAGUCCUUUUUUUUCUCUCUAUUGUUUUUACCAAUAAGAAGAGAAUGAAAAAUGAAUUUAUCACAAAAAUUAUCAUCAAAUGAUUGUUCAAAUAUCAUUAUUCAUUUUGUAAAGAUACUUUUAUAUUCAUUUAAUGCUUAAAUUGGUAUUGUAAAGUGACAAUUAUUUUGAGAUUCAAUAAAUAAGGGUAUAAUAGUGAGAAAAAAUAAUAAAUGCUAAAUUGGUAUUGUAAAGUGACAAUUAUUUUAAAAAAAAGAAAAAUUGUUAAAAAGACAAUAAUUAUGAGACGGAGGAAGUACCAUUUUCCAAUGCUAACUCCAUAAUUGUAGUCAUUAGACUACUACCAUUUUCCAAGGCUUAAUCGUCUCAUACUUGAUUUGAAAUUUGUACUCAUUAGACUACUAUCAUUUUCCGAUGCUAAUUCAUUAACUACACAUGUCUAUCUAAGCAUGCAGACAUUACAAAACGUCCACAAAAUCACUUCUCUGCACAUUCAAUCCUUAAUGUCAUUUUCCAAAGUUUAAUCAUUCAUCACUCAUUUGAAAUUUACUCUCAUUAUACUACUAUCAUUUUCCAAUUCUAACUCACAAAUUGUACACAUCUAGUUAUGAUAAGCAUGCAUUAAUUGCAUACACCCUCCGGUUAUAAAUAUAAGAAAAAAUUCAUAUUUUAGAUACAUUCAAUAAAUAAUGUAUGUUAUCUACAAUAAAGACCACAAACUUUAUUUAUUGAAUGAAUCCAAAACAUGUAUUUUUACUUAUAUUUGUGACCGGAGAGUGUACCUUCCAUAAAAAUUACUUUUAUGCCAAUUUAAUGCUUAAUGUCAUUUCCCAAAGUUUAAUCAUCCACGUCUCUUUGAAAAUUUGCACUCAUUAAAUUAGGAAAAAUGCUAAAGUGCACGAUAAGAUGUUUCGUGCAAAUCCCACGAAACAGUGAUAUGCUCUCUUGCAUAUUAUUUUUACUAAAAAAUUGAUCAUGUUUUUUUUUUUAUACCAACCGUAACAUUAUAUCCUUCUUUGAAAUAACAUUUUACAUGAAAUCGCAACUAGUAAUCGACUCUCCAAUGGUGGAAAUGAAAGUAAUCUGACAAAAACGCUCCAAUGGUAGUAAAAAGAGUAACCUCCCACGCCGGUGCCUUUCCAAAUGUUCUCUCCUCCGGCGCCGAUGUCGGAACUGGUAAACAUGUUGAAACUAGUCGCGUGCCAGAGACAUAUUGUUGGUGGUGACUCUACAGUGGUUGGCAACAUGUGGCAGCAACCAACUCUGGUGUUAUCACGGUGGUUGGGGCGGCAAUGACCAGGACAACGGCGAAGACGGUGCUUGCGUCUUUUAUGACGGUGCUAGCCAAGAGACGUGUACGCACAGAUGUGUUGAAGCUUGUUCGUGCGGUUUUUUAUCGUACCAGUUUUUUUAUCGUACCAUAUAGCAACGCUGUUUUUUGGUCAUUUCCAUGUGUCUCUAGGAAACAAUGGAUGUGAGAAAAGCAAUUGUCAUCUUCUUUAUUUUUGCUACAGUAUUGAGUUGUGAACACGUUCAAGGUGUCAAAUUGGCCCAGUGUAAAAAAAUAUCAUCAUUCAAGGUUGGUUUUUUUUUUUUUUUUUUUGGAGGGGUUCAAGGUUGGUCAUUUUAGUAUGCUUGCAAGAAAUCAUUUAUCUUGUUGACUUCCUAAGUAUUUGCACCUCGUCCCAGUAGGAGUACAGAGAAUCAGCUGUUGUAAGCCAGUACCCAUCCUUGCUUCACCUAUGUCCAAUUCCUCAUUCAAAUUUUGUAUAUUUUAUUUAUUUAUAUUUGCGAAAGCAAAUUUUUAUGUGCUGAUAUGAGAUGCAUCAAGAAAAAAUGUGCAAGGUCAAGCAAAACAGAUAGGUAUCUUCUCUGCUAAAAGGAAAAUAUGAAUUACUACCAAAAUCUUAGAUAAGGAAUUGGUAUCAAAGCCGAUGUUAUGAUGUCUAUUACCAUAUAUUAACAUUAGCUACAAUAUAUUCAUUUAUAUAAGGAAUUAAUAUCAAAGCAUAUGUCACCUCGUACUGUUUUCAUCUAAGCAUUAAAUACCAUGUCCCGUAAGUAAAAACGACAACUUAGAAGAUGAGGAUCUUGAUUCUUAAUUGUCUUCGAAUAAUAUAUGUUCUUCUUUUAAUGUGGUCCUAUCUUCAAUAACAGAUACCCAACUUUCUGCAACUCUGGUAACUCUUCCUUCUGAGAGCUCAACUAAAGUAAAGGCUCUUGCUGUACCUUCUGCCACUAGUGAGGACAUAGGACUUUCAACCUUUAAGCUUCUCUUGUCCUCGUCGCUCAAACUUUUGACCCUAGGAACAAUGGCCCCAUUCAAGUAUAUGACGUUGUCGUCCCCAAUGACAAUCAUUUUCCUAAAACCCUUGGCAUGUGCGAGCUCUUUGUGCAUGUGGCCGAACACAACCAAAGGAAUAGAUACCUGAUUAUUCUCUUUUAGCAAGGAUAUUGCGUAUGCUAGAUCUGUUAUGCAAACAUAAUAAACUAGUUAAAUCAGUUUCCCAUUUUUGCAACAUUGACAUCAUCGACCACACUUGCAUCUUAUGGGACAUGUCCACCAAAACAGAAAAUGACCAGGCAAAUCACUACUAUUAUUCGACAUACGAAAAGAACGUACACAGCCAUUUGAAAUGAAGAAAACAAAUAUUUAACAUUAAUUUGGAAUGGGGGAAACCAGGACUUGACAGUUGUAAUGAUUUCCAAUAACCAAAAACACGAGAUUUUAUUUUUAAUAACAAUCCAAGCUCUGAUGUAUAUAUUAAUUAUUACCUGGGUCACCAUGAUCACCAUCACCAUCCAAUUCCCAAUCUUUUCCACAUAUAUCAUUCGAACCAGAACCAAGGCCUGCACAAAGAAAAUUCAGGAAUUAUUUUGGUAUUUGACGUGACAAGCCAGCACUGCUAGAGAAGAGAUUCUGUGUUGCACCUGUGGGUCCAUUAUGUGCAAGUAAUAUCAGAAAAUGAUCCUCUGGUGUACCAAUAGCAGCUUUCUGGAUUCUCUUGGCACUCUGAUCCAUGUCUUUAACUCCAUAUCUAAGAAAAAGUUCAAAUUUGAAAUAUCAACUAUGAUUUACAAUGGCAACUUCAGUACUGGUAAAAUACCAUACAUUAUCUUCAUGUGAAGUAAAAAAAGGCCAUCCAACUUCACUUUUACCGUUUCAGUGUUGCUUAUGCCUUAUGAAAACAAUGGAUAUUACAGUCAAGUAACUCUAGGUGUCUGAUAGUGCUAGAUAUUGGAAAUACAUCAGAAACAUAAAUAGAUGGCCUUAUGUGGGACCAUCCAUUUAAGAUUAAGAAAGUAUAAUUUUAUAUUUAUAAAAAUUGAUUACUUUAUUAUUGGGAUUUUUUAUGUAAAGUACAACCUAUUUGUUGUUAGUUUACAAUUAUAAAAAUCAUUUUUUUAGCAUUUUCUUAUCUAUUUCACUCAUUAUAAUCAGAUUAUAUCUAAGAAGAUACUCAAAUUUACUUUUCAUUACAAUCAGAUUUCUGACUAUUUUUCAAAAGCAAAAACAAUUCACAAAUCCUUAAAAGUGGUUAUUUUCCUCAAACUAUUUUGAAGCAAACUAGCUCUGAUGGAAAAUUUUUGCAACACUCUUUUCAAGUGACCACAUAAUUGGAGCAAAUAAGAAAACUCAACUCUCUUGUUGGGAUUAGAAACAAAGGUUUGAAUCUUAAAACAUUGAGUUGACAUUGGAUCCCUUAGAGAGUCAAAUUGUCUAUAAUUGCUUUUACAUAAUACACACCUUGCAAACAGCAGCUUUUUUCGAAAUAAUGGUUUACCCCCACAUGAAAAUGGCCGCCCACCAACGACACUUACUUUUAUUAGAGGUAAAUCUAAACGUUGAUAAGCCACAUGCUCCUUGCCAAGGCUGAGAUUCACAGUAAUAUAUACAUUUAUAUCAAUAAAUUAUCCAACUAAUUCUAUAAAAACAAAAUAUUAUAAGUGAACUUUUCAGUAAAUCUAGAAAGGUGCCAAUUAGGCUUUUAAGUAAUCUGCUUUCUUUCUCAUGCAUUGAUAACUUCUCUGUACUUAAGAAAUUUUGUUCCACAGUUAAAAAGCAGCAUAGAGAUCUUAGAAUUCUUUCAAACCCUCAAUGGGAAAGGAUUUAGAAUAUCUGGCCCAUUUUCUUUUAAUGAAAGUAUGAACUUGUUACUUUACCCACAUAUUAUAUACACAUAUCAGCAAUGGAUUGUGAUAGCAAAUAUGCUUUCAUCAAGAGUGUACUCAUCAUGGAACAACAAUAAAAUUUCCAUGCUAGGUGAGGCAUCAGGAUUGUAAUCAUAAGGUACAAUUAAUUCUUUAGAACUUACCAUUCUAGCUGUAGCUGAACUCUAUCCUUCUCACUGACAUUUAAAUCAAAAUGUUAGUAAAAAAUUGGACUGCAAAUCACUGCCUGCAACUAAUACUUAUAGGGCAGAAAACAAACUGCAAAUGAAAUAUGUAAUUAACAUAUGGACAAAACUUAAAUCCAAAUUUUUUGGAUCCAUGAGAUUGUCUGCCUCCGUGAAUGUGUACGCGUGCGGGUGCUUUUCGUUUAGGGAGAGGGGGAAAUGCAGGUGCGUAAAAAUGACUGCUUGUUCACAUUGUAAAUCCAUUGUUAUUGUAUCCCAUCAUUUGUUUUAAAAUGAGAUUAUCUAAAGUCUUGUGGAUGAAGCUUUCCACCACGUAAAUUUAACACACAAAAGAAAAAUGAUUUGAGGACAAACAUGUAAAAUUCACCUGUCAGAAAACCGCUUAGUAAACCAGGAAUCAUGAUUUCCUAAUAUAACUGCUUUAGCAAAUUCAAUAUUUGCAACACUGCGAACGAUUUCAAGAUUUUCCUCGCCAAAAUCACCUAACAAAAUUCAAUUCAGUGUAGUUGAAAAAGGAUGUAAACAUUAAGAGAAGUAUGAAUCAUAUGAUAAAAAAUCAUAAUAAAUCAUUGAUAGAUAUAAGAAACAGAAUAUGAUGAAAUAGUGAACAGUUAUGAGUAAUUUAUAUGUGCAAAAUAACAAUGCCAUGGAAUUCAAUACAAAAUUUCAAAGGUAUGCACCCGCUAUUUCCUCACCAACUAGAAUAGGCCACAAAGAACCAACAACACUAAAUGAAUUUAAGAAAUAUCAACAUAGUGUGAUAGGUUGAGCAGCAGUAACAAUGAAACUUGCCUGUAAAGAGCACCAAGUCUGGCUGCAGUGCAAUAUAGGUCGAUAUUAGAUUGAUUGAUCAGAUAUACAUAUGUAUGCUUGUUAUUAGGUUCAUAUAAAUAAAAAUAAAGGAAACUAACUGUAAAAUGUAAACCACUUAAUUCAAUUUGCACACUCACUAAGACACAAACAACACAAUCGCUUUCUUUAUAGGUAUCAUGACAGCAUAUUUAGCAUAGCACACACUAUAAAAUUAAGCGACUGACUUUUGGAAAUUGAAAUUUAAGAGCAUAUGUAAAAUUAAGCGACAAAAUUUGUAGGUUUCCUGAUGGCAUAUCUAGUACUCCCUCUGUUUCAAAAUAUAAGCAAAAUUCAGUUUUUAGAUUCAUUCAUUUAAUGAUGUAUGUGGUCCAUAUUAUGAACCACAUACAUCAUUAAAUGAAUGAUCCUAAAAAGUGAAUUUUGCUUAUAUUUUGAAACGGAGGGAGUAUGAAUUAAGCGACAUAAUUUUGAGUAGAUUUUUUUUCCUGAGACAACUUCUUAUCUUUUUUUUUUAUUAUAACAUUUCAUAACUACUAUUAAAAAAUUACAUAGGAAUAGAAGACAAGCGUGCAACAAGCUGCGCCGCUAACCCUUUCUAGAUGGCAAAAUCAAUCCUCUUAAAGACCUAUGAGACACAACAUUGUUAUGCAUGACUCUUUGAGCUCUUUGUAGAAGAUCCUUAACCUCUAGUGCUAGGAAGCCAAAAUUGUCAAAUGCAAGCAAGCUGAUUGUCAUAACAUGUUUUCUCAUGUUUAGCCAAUUUGUUUGAAGUGGCUUUGAGGGUUGUAUGUCCCACAAUAAAAAACUCGGUCCCUAAACCCACAAGUGGGGAAACCCCAAUCAAGUCCACACAUGCAUGUUUCCCUCCUACCCACCCAUACAUUACAUACUUAUUACAUUAAACCUUAAUUCCACCACAAUGAAUAACACGAAAGUGAAAAAAAGAAGAAAAAAAUAGUACUUUUGUAUAUUACAUACUUAUUCUUUUGAAACAUUAACUCAAGAGAAUAUUUUUGUAUAUGCAAUAGCAUAAUCUUCUCUACAUUUUCAUUCUACUUGUUAAUGUGACAUCCAAUCAAAAGGAAGAAAAAAAUUCAAAAUUUUAAUUUUGAAUUCCCUUAAUUUGAUUGUUUCAGUAAUUUAUAUUCUCAAUUAGCUCCCAGCCAAGAGCAUAGCAUAGUUUUUGGACAUACUUUCUUUUCCAACCUUUCUAUAUCAAGGAUGCGAUUGAGUAAACAACUUAAUUAAGUGCUUAUUGAAAAAAUGCUUAUGAAAUGAGAAUAAUUAAUUACCUGGAGGAAUUGAAGUGCUUUGGAAUCUUGUUGAAAGUUCCAGCAGUCAUGCUUAAAAAGAUUAGGAAGGUACUAUUAUAUUAACAAUCGAAGAUUAUCGAAAUUAAAGUAAGGAGAGUUAGUUUAGUUUAGUUUACCACAUCACCGACAACAACAAUUCGAACAGAAGAAGAAGAAGAAGAAGACGCGGCGGCCAUUGAAAUCGAGCAACAAAGCUUGCGCUUCCAACUCCUACAACGGUUUAACCAAUAUAAGGUAGGCGCGUGAUAACACGUGCUCAACAUAUAAUAACACUCUCUGUGCACGAAAUUAUGGUCUCACCAAAUCACAUAAAAUUCACAUAAAAAACUCUUGUAAUCUAAGUUCAACAAAGCUAAGCUUUUUUUUUUUUUUUUUUUUUAUGGGUUCAUCACAUGAAUAGUUCUCCUUUUACCAAGGAAUUAUGAAAAAUUGGUGUGAAUUCGAUAAAAAUCACAUUAAUAAAAUAUUUGAUAUAUGGAGCAAGUUAAUCAAGCAACUAAUAUAACAUGUGUAACGAAAAAAGAGAGAACACAUGGAAACUUGUUUAUCCAAUUCGGUCUAAUAGUGACCUAGUCUGAGUAGCUCUCCGUUCCACUAUAGUGAUGAGUAACUUUACAAAAGAGAUAUUAAAAUGUUACAAGAAUCAGUCUUCAAACUUAAUUUUACCUAAAUCCUAAAUCUCUUCCCGUGUCCGGAUCUCUCUUCCCGCGUGACUGAAUCUAUUCCCAUGACCAAGAGACCAAUCUUAAUAGUGUUUCUCCCAAGGUGAUCAAAAGAAUCUCAACCCCUAAUGUUUGUUGCAAGAGAAAUCUCUACUUGGCUUCUAAACCCUUGUAUUCGGGUUCUCAACCUCUCUCAAAUUUAAUUUGAUACAAGGUUUAUAGUUAUAGAGAAAUAUAACUCGUAAAUUUGAAACGAAUAUCACGCUGAAGAUGCGUUUCCUUUUUUUCCUCAUUCAGCAUAAAAUAUAUUUGCAUCAAAUAUUCCUAUUAAAAAUAUAUUUGCAUCAAAUCUUCCUUCAUACGGUACAAAAAUAUAUUUUUUGUCCAUAAAUAUAUUUUCAGCAAUAAUCUUCCGAAAGCACACAAAAUACAUUUAAAUCAAAUCUUUUAUAUUUUUAGCAACAAUAUUAUUUCCAUCAAAUUUUAAGUCAAUUUCAACAAAAAUAAUAAUUAAAUAAUAGAUUUCUAUAAUUCCAAUUAUUUCUUCUUAAGUUUCAAAGUAUCUAAUUCAGUCCUCCCUAAAAAAAAAUAUCUAUUCAAUCUUAUUAUUUUAAAAGAAAUAUUUUGGACUUUAACCAAAGUACUAAACGAUGAAGUUUGAUGUUGGAACGAUAAGAUUGAACAAAACCUUUAAAACAUGUGAAUGGUCUAAAAGCUUUUGAGAUGAUAUAAGAUAAUCGUGUUUAAUGGAAUUUAGAAACAUAUCAACAUGAAAACUGAUGUCAAGACGAUAGAAGAUAAUUAUUCUCAAAUGAGGAAUGCUAGGGACACUCUCUCUAAUACACUUCAAUCACAAUUGGCCACAUCAACCACUUUUUAUUUUAUUUUACUUGUUACGGGCUUCACUAAUAGAAUGUGUAACCAUUCAUUUUAUUUUAUUUUUAUAUCAUUUAGAUUUAACUUUUUGUCUUCCUCUCCAAUUGCAACCUCCCAAAAGUUUCUUCCAUUGCGCGCUCUACCUCACAUUCAAGAGUCCAUCCUUUACAAAAACAAACCACAGCAAUCCAGAUAAAAAAUUCAUUGGCAAGUGAAAACAUGUUAAGAUAUUUUUUUUUUACUUUGGCCACAAAGUUGUAAGGAACAAAAAAGAGAUCUUGAGAUGAAGAUGUUUCAGAAAUAACUAGAAGAGUUUUUGACAUAAACAAUGGCAAUAACAGCGACCAAGACAGAUUGGAAGGAGCUUGAGAUCGAGAGCUAAAUUGUUACGGAUCUAAAGGAAAGUUCCGAAUAUUUUUUUAAUUUUUUUUGUUAACAAAGGGUAGUUUCUCACCCUACAGAGUCGAUUAGAAGAUAAAAUAAUAUUACUGACUUGACCAAUUGUGAUUGAAGUGUGUCAGAUGAGUGUGUUAGAGAGUGUGACCCUAACAUUCAUUUUCUCAAAUAUAAGAUAAAAAAUCUAAUCUAUGCAUGAUCAUUCAAUCAUUUAGAGUAAAACCCUCAACAACGACUAAAAUUUUGCAUCUCUUAAUUUUGCAAAAUGAAUCCUUUGUGAUUUUAAAGACUCGUUUACAAUCAAUGGUCUUGUCCCCAUUAAGUAACUCUAAUAUUUUGGGUUAAAUAUGUUUUUAGUCCCUGUAAAUAUGUCAAAUUUUCGUUUUAGUCCCUCUAAAAUUUUCCUUCAACUUUUAGUCCCUAUAAAAUUUUCAAUCUUCACUUUUGGUCCCUCUUUUAAAGUAAACUCAUAUCUAGAAUUCAUAUUUUUUAAUAAAUUCACAAAAAUUCAAAAUAUUAUAAAAAUCACUUAAAAAAAAUUUAAAAUUUUUUAACAAAACAUGAAUUUUUAUAUUUUUUAUGGUUAAAAAUUCAUAUUUAAUUUGUGUUUUGUUAAAAAAUUCAAAUUUUUUUAUAAUAUUUUACACAUUUCUGCAUAAUUUUAUUAAAAAAUACAAAAAUUAAAUUAAAAAUAGGGACCAAAAGUAGUAAUUGAAAAUUUUAUAGGGACUAAAAGUUGAAGGAAAAUUUUAGAGGGACUAAAACGAAAAGUUAACAUAUUUAUAGGGACCAAAAAUAUAUUUAAUUCUAAUAUCUUUAGUAUGGAGUAACUGAUGGCUAAUAAUUUCUUCUCGGCACAACCACAAAAUAUAUCUACAUUUACUAUAAAAAUCCAUAAUAGCACUUAGUUAACAUGAGGUAUGGGAGGGAGUUGGACAUAUUAGAGACAAUACAAAACAAAACCACAAAUUAAUAACGGUUUACAACUCUAAUUCUUGUUGCAGAUUGUUUUUACACCAUGAAGAUGUUGUCUAUUGUUGCACAAAAAAUAAUUAAUGGUGAAAAAUACCAAUUAGUGAUACCUUCGAUUCUAAUUACCAUCAACAAUGGAUGUUACCAAUGGAGGUGUUAAACUUUGCUUCAUUCUCACAAUUUUUGUGUUGGCAUUUGUUCCUUUUACUCAAGCUUCAAAUUCUUUGUGGUACGAAUUGAUUCAUCCAAGAUUAACGGUGAAAAUAACAUCUAAAAUACCAGGCGAGAAUGUUCGUGUUAAAUGCAUAUCGAGCGAGAAUGAUAUUAAAACGGGAUAUUUGAAUUCUUCUAGCAUGAAGCCAUUUACAUUUGAGGUUGAACUCAAAUUUCUCACCACAAUAAGAUACAAUUGUUUAUUGACGCAACAUGAUAAAGAAAUUGGACAAUUUUUGGGAUUUCGAAGUGGUUCUUAUUGUGCGAAAGGUUGUACAUGGGAACUUUAUCCAAACUAUGCUUUGCGUAUGUCUUUGAGAAAUGGUUAUGUAAAUCAAACUUAUAAGGCAAUAGGAAGCCCUGAUGAUCAUGAUUAUGACUUUUCAUAGUUAUAAUCGACGUGACUUGUAUUGUUAUUUUAUCGAGCUUUUACUUUAGUUUAGAAAUAUUUACAAAUUUUGAUUCUUUAGUUUAUAGUACACAUUCUAAUUAUUGUAUUUUAUGUUUCAUUAUUAUCAUUUUAUUUAUUUUAAACUUAGAUACUUAACUCAUUCUUCUUGUCAAAAAAAAAAAACUCAUUAUUGAGUAUUAUCACUAUUAUAACAAAAAAAUCUAUAUUUUAAAUUUAUUCAAUUAAUUAUGUAUAUGAUUUUUAUUAUAUACCGUAUACAUCAUUUAAUGAAUGAAUCUAAAAUGUUAAUUUUUACUUGUAAUAAUGACUGAAAAAUGUAUAAACUAAGUUUCCGACUUUAUCGUAAUCCACACAUGUUUUUUUAAAGCAUUAUCAUAAUUUAUGCGAUUAACAAUAAAUGGCAUCCACGAACAAAACCUUAAAAAUAAAAAACUUGAAGAAAUUCAAAUUCUUAAAAUUUGUAUCCAAACUUAAGUGAUGUACGGCGAAUUCAUAUGCAAAUUAGUUUGCUACACAUUAGACUUGGGUCCAAAAGAUUAAACUUGAAUCAUCGUGUAUAUGAUGAAUGUUACUUAUGAGCGUCCUUUGAGUAUGAAAGCAAUACAACCAUCGUCGAGCAAAUUAAUUGCAAGGGAAGAAUCCUUAAUUUUAAAUCAUGAAAAAAUUCUUUAAAGGUCAACUUCAAAUAGGGAUGGCAAUUGGACCCAGAUCCAAUGGGUACACUCAAAAAAUACCUACAAUGGGUAGGAUAAAAUCCCGCUUUUAUGGGUCUGGGCACUGGUACGGGUAAUACCCACAAAAUUAAAUGGACAUGGGCACGGGUAACAGUACUAUACUGCCCAGACUCGCAACCUCACAUAUACAUAUUUAUAUAAUAUCAUAAAUUAUUUAUUUAUUUUUUAUGUAUAAUUAAUUAAUUAAUUUAGCUAUUUAAACCUAAACCUAAACUUAAACCAAACAACUGCUUAAUACAAUAACAACUUCAUCAUGCCGGUGUAUAAUUUUUUAGGGAUAUUUUGGAUGUUUUCUAUUUGAUAAAAUACCACGAUUCAUGUUAUUUUAUGAGUUAAUUUUAAAAAAUUGGGAUCGUAGUUUUAUUUCAUUUGUGAUGUUUUUUUUUUUCAUAGUUAAAGUGCGGGUAUUGACACCUAGGUAUCCAUAAGGUAUGGGGAAGGAGACUAAAGUUGUUGCCCACGAGGAUACGUGCACGGGUAUGAGUAUUUUUUAUAAAUGCGGAUAUGGGGACGGGCACUGUUGUACCCUACCCAUUGGAUACCCAUUGUCAUCCCUAACUUCAAACACAAAGUAAGGACGAACCUUGGCUACAAAAACACAAAUAAGAGAGUUUCACUUUUAUAUUUAUUGCUAUGUUUACUAAAACAUGUGAGGAUUAUAAGUUAUAACACAGCCGAAGGCUAAAGGCUUAUUAUUAUUAUUAUUAGGGAAAUGUUAACUUGUGUCAUUGGGGUAUAAGUUAAGAAAGCGAAUGUAGAAAGUUUUUCUUGGAACUUGUGUAUUCAAUAUCUUAAAAGUUGCAAAAGUUAUACUUUUAAUAUAAAAUUUAUUUUUAAUUUCCUUUUUAAGCUUCUUAACUUGUGCCCUAAAUGCACAAGUUAACAUGUCCCUUAUUAUUAUUGUUAUUAUUAUAGAAAUGGUAUGUAAAAUUUCACAACAUUUUGAAAAAAGUUUCGAUUUAUUUUUAUUUUCUUGAUUUAAAUGUAUAAAAUUUCAAUUUUAUUCCGAGUAAGCACUUACUCACGAGCCAAAUUUCGUUCCUUAAUUUAAUUAUGAAUUUCAAUCUCCCAUAAUUAUGAAUUAUGAAUUUCUAAAACAAUUUAUAAUUAAUUCGUUUAUCAUUUAAAAACUCCAAAAUUUCAUGGUGAAAUUUCUUAUGAUAUUAAAGAGUUAAUUAAAUGUAACAAAAAAAAAAAGAGUUAAUUAAAUGAACAUGACUCACAAAAAAGAAAUUAUUAAUAUAACAAUCGACAUACUUGUCAUUAAAAAAAUUAGUAUAUCAUCUUAGUAUUUGAGUGGAUUAAAAACAAUUGUGUAUAUCUUUCAAACUUUUAAAAACUGAUUCGAAAUUGAAUUUAAAUUCAAAUACUUAAUAUCCCAAAAUGGAAUUUAAAUUAGGAUAUUAUUUUUGACUAAAGAGUUGUUGCAAAUUAUACAAAUUUUAUAUUAAAUCCAUAAACUUUUGAUAUUCAAUUCUUUCAAAAAAAAAAAAAAAAAAAUUUUUUUGACAAAAAAAAGAAAAACUUUUGAUAUUCAAUUUUCUUUUAUAUAUAAAAUCAAAGUAAGUUUUUUUUGAGGGAAUAUAUAAAAUCAAAGUGAAUAUUUGUUUUUUUUUAUCGAGCGUAUAAAUCAAGCAACAAAAUCUUUAGUUCCUUCAUGUUUGCGAGGUUUUGAAAAACCUCAUACGAUAGUUGCCAUGGCUGAUACCUCAGCGCAAAUUCAACAACAACAACCAAGUCGAUCAAGGGACCUCGACAAACUCCUUCUCCGACCCGGCAAUCUUGUGGGUCCCAGGUUCGAACCUGGCGCAGAGGUACUCUCUUUUUCAUUCUUCUUCAAUUCUCUUUACUCCUAGGGUUUCAUCAUCAAUUUUGUUGUGUGUGCUCUUGUAGUUAAGAGAUGAUCUUCAAGAAUUCGCGAAAGUGUUGGUGGUUGGUGCUGGUGGGUUAGGUUGUGAAUUGUUGAAAGAUUUAGCUUUAUCUGGUUUUCGUAACCUUGAUGUUAUUGAUAUGGAUCGUAUUGAAGUUACUAAUCUCAAUCGCCAAUUUUUGUUUAGGUAUAUUAUAAUUAUAAUUAAACCCUUUUGCUUAAAUUUCAAUUUUUUGUUGUUUUUGUGAUAUGGAUAUUUUUUGAUUUGUGUGAUUUUGAUUGUUUGUAGACUUGAGGAUGUUGGGAAACCUAAAGCUGAGGUAGCUGCUAAGCGUGUAAUGGAAAGAAUUAGUGGUGUGAAUAUUGUGCCACAUUUUUGCAGGAUUGAGGAUAAGGAGAUUGAAUUUUAUAAUGAUUUUAGUAUUAUUGCACUUGGUCUUGAUUCGAUUGAGGCACGGAGUUACAUCAAUACUGUUGCUUGUAGUUUUCUAGGUUUGUGUUUUUAUCCCUAUAACUUAUACAGUACUUGUUAUUAUUUGUCUUUAUAUGCUCCUCUGCUUUUUUUAUUUUGAGGAAUGGUGGUUGUGUUUCAAAUACUUGAGUUGUUAUGACGUAUUGACUGUUUUUACAUUUUAUAAAUAGUAAUUCACACACAUGCACACCAUAGGAAGACACACACGAAUUACAGGCUUAGAUGGUUUGAAUAUGUAGAGAGAAGACUUUUAGAUUCUGUAGUGAGGAGAGUAGAUCAAAAGGAUGAUAGUUAGAUCACUAGAGGCAGAUGAAGACCUAAAAAAAACUAUAAGAGAAAUCAUUAAGGGUGUGUUUGGAUUGAGGGUUUAGGAGGGGAAGGGAGGGGGAGGGUUUACUUUUCUUUUUUAAAUUACGAACUAUAUAACAUGUUUUUCUAAAAUAAAUUAAGUGUGAUUGAAGUAUUUAUAUGAUCGUUUAUCAUAUUAAUAUGAUAACUUUUUAAAAUACAUUUCAUAGUGUCCGUAAUUUAAAAAUGAAAAAUAAACCCUCCCCUCCCUUCCCCUCCUAAACCCUCCAUCCAAACACACCCUAAGAAGAAUUUAAAGAUUAACGUGUUGGACCAAGAUAUGGUUUAUGAUAGAACAUUAUAACAUAAUUUGAUCCAUGUAGCCUACCCCACUUGGUGGGACAGGGCUUGGUUGUUAUUGUUGUUGGUCUGCUCUCGGUAACUUGUCAUACAAACUUUCAUUCUAUACAGUAUAUUUUGUGGAUGUGUUUAUCGUAUCUGACUUAAUUAUGUUAAUUUUCAUGUCCACACUCUCAUAAGGUUUGCUGCAGUGCAGGGUGCUUAAGCUAAUUUUAGUUUCUUUUAUUUUGACUGAUAAAUAUAGAGUAUGAUUCUGAUGACAAUCCACGAGAAGAGACAAUCAAACCUAUGGUGGAUGGCGGGACUGAAGGUUUCAAGGGCCAUGCCAGGGUUAUUAUGCCAGGGAUCACACCGUGCUUUGAGUGUACCAUAUGGCUUUUUCCACCUCAAGUGAAGUUUCCUUUAUGUACCCUGGCAGAAACCCCUAGAACCGCUGCCCACUGUAUUGAAUAUGCUCACUUGAUUAAAUGGGAUGAGGUAUAUAUAUAUCAUCGUUCAUCUUUUCUAUUAUUUUGUAAUGAUCCAUUCCUUUUAAACGAAGUUUGAUUUAUAGGUUCAUCGUGGAGUGCCUUUUGACCCUGAUAACCCCGAGAAUAUGAAAUGGGUUUAUGAUGAGGUAAUUUCUAUUUCUUAUUGAGCAUUACUCUUCAGUAUAGGUUUUAAGCCCAUCAAUCAGUUACAACUUUCACUAUUUAUGUUUUAUAGGCUGUCAAGAGGGCCGAGCUUUUUGGCAUUCCUGGAGUUACUUAUUCUUUUACCCAGGUAUUUGGGAUGCUAGUUCUCCCUGGAAAAUUUUCUUUCUUUUUGUUUGUUUGAUGUAUGUUGUUGUGUACAAGUGUGAGUUAUCCCACAUCAGAUAAAAUAGUAAAGGUUGAACACCUUGUAAGUAAGAGGACCCAUAAACCCAUUGCCUUAAGGUUUUGGGUAAGAGUGUGGUGUCUCUCUCACUAUGUGGUUGUUCUAGCCUCGAUGUGGACAGUCCCCCGAGCUCCCCCAGUGACCCAACAGUAAUGACGAAUUCAUAAAAUUUGGCCGAUGGUUGUGCUACUUGUUGUUUUCCCUUGAUAAUCAAUUGCAUAAUUUGCAUUUUCCUCGUUCGCUAAGCAAUUAAUUGUUUUAAUAGGGUGUUGUGAAGAACAUCAUACCGGCUAUAGCUUCAACAAAUGCAAUUAUAUCAGCUGCAUGUGCGCUGGAAACAUUGAAGAUUGCAACAGAGUGCAGCAAAACUUUGUCAAACUAUUUGACGUUUGUUCUUUAUCUUUUUUAUUACUUUUUUACUUGGCUAUUGCUCUAUAUACAUAUUAUUAAUUUGUUCACACCUCAUGUAGGUAUAAUGGUUCAGAAGGCCUCCACACUAAAGUCACAGAAUUUGAGAGGGACAAAGACUGCCUUGUGUGUGGUCCUGGUAUACGUAUUGAACUGGACCCUUCAAUCACAUUGCAAAAGGUAAAUUUUCAAUCAGUGCUCAAGUUUUUUUUUUUUAAAUUUGGAAUGUAUCAGAUGUCAAUUCCUUGUUUUCAGGAGGUUCAAAUGUUCCUGGUAUAAAAUAUUGAAAUCAUAUUUUAAAUUGUUUGGUUGCUAGCUAGCUAGCUAUUUAUUUAUAACUUAAAGCCUUGACCUUAAAAGUGACCGUGAAUGCCUAUUUACAUUUGGCAAUUUUCAGCUCUUGCUUGUCUUUAUUUCAUACUGUUGUCUGCAGCUGUUGUAUUGCAUUUAAAAAUGGUUUUUAAACUUAACAUCUUCGGCCUUUUGUCCUUGGGUAGACUACAAAAACACUAUUUCGGCAGACGUAGAGCUUCUUUGUGUCAAAUCUUGAAAGUUUCAUUGAGUUUAUUCUCAACCCCUUUCCUUUUCCUUAUUUUUCUAAUGGUUGUACAAGGAAUGAAUAGAAUGCUGAACAGGUAGUUGUUGGGACGUAAGUUCAGGAAGUUAGAGUCAGAUAGGAUGUGCUUAGAUAGGUAGCGUUAGGCUGUGUUGUAGGUAAAUAAUAGGAAAAGUACGAGUAUGGUUACAAUAUCUUUUAUCAACGUAAAAUAUAUUUUUUGCCAAUUUUUAUGGCUAUAGCUGUGUAAUUAUCCCCAAUAUAUACCCUUCAGUAACAGUAAACAAAUGGUUGUGUGCACUCCUUGUAUUCCUUAGACUUGAGCUUGGCCCAUUACAAGGUGUUUGAAAGAGUUUAUCUAGACUUACCUUAUGACAUAAUCAGCAAACACUGAUAUAAGUGCUUGGAAUAGAUUAUGAAAAUAGUUUAUGAUAUGCUCGUAAGCUGUCUUUAUUCUUUUAACUUAUUUUCAUAAGCUCCCUAUAAUAGCUCAUAGAAAUAAUUUAUUCAUGGCAUAUGCAGAAAAUGUUUUACCUAACUGAUUAACUGACUUAAUAAUUCCAAGUUCCAACUAUUUAACACCUCUGUUAUCCUAAUGAUAGAAACCAACUGAUAUAGAAGAAUAAAAUAGGGAAAAUCCCUUUGAUUACUGAAUAAUAUUGCAGAACUUCGAGGGUCUGCACCUCCCUAUUGCUAAAAUGGCCCCUUCCCAGUCAAUCUUCCCAUCUCUCCCCUAUUUAUUCUUAAAACUUAACCUCCCACUACUGACUUAAUUAAUUAUUAAUCAUAAUAUAAUAAUAAACCAUAACUGCAUAAUUAACUACUAUAAUUAUAAUAAAACUGACACAAUUCUAAUAAGAUAUCUAACAAUACUCCCCCCCUAAAGAUUCACCUUAUCCUCAAGGUGAAGGAUAUCAUAAGUGUCCACCUGGGUCCCAUAACUGAAGUAUAAUGACAGAGCGAUGUGUGAAUCAUGCAAACUUAUGCCCUGAUCAUAUACUCUGUUUGUAGUGAUAUUUUUGAGAAAAAAAUACUGGAUGAUUGAUGUUGUGGUGCCCAUAGUAGUCCCCCUUAUCUCUGACCCCAUACUCAUUUCUUUAUUGCAAUUAAGUUUGCACAAAUCCGUUUUGCUCUCCUGUUCCAUUUCCAUAAUCAUGACAUGCAUAUGGGCAUUUUCUACAUAUCUCUCUAUUUUCCCCAUUUCUUCAUCCUUCCAAACCUUUCUCUUCUCCUAUCGCGGUGGGAUUUGGAUUGCCCUGGUCAAUAUCUUGUGGUUGAAUAUUGAAUGAACCUUGAGUCGUCAACCGCUCCAAUUCAGUUUCAGGUUCCUCUUCUUUAUCAGACAUAGGCAUGAUAUCCCGAUAUUCCGGUUUUAAACGCCAAAUAAAUGCAAGUGAGAACAUAUGCCAACUAACCUGUUGAUGGCGUCGAUUCCACCAGUGUGACCAUUGGCGAGCACGACCUCUGAAUAACAUCAGCGCAUCUGUCAGUUUCUCCUCAUCUGGUGUAUCUCUCUUUUUGAAUGUUCCUCAAUGCAUAGCAGCCACCAGUAUGCAUCUUCUUUGCCAUCAAACACUCGAAACUCCAUUUCUUCCAUAACGGUACAACGGUUCCAAGAUCGAUGCUCUGAUACCAGUUGAUAGAAACCAACUGAUAUAGAAGAAUAAAAUAGGGAAAAUCCCUUUGAUUACUGAAUAAUAUUGCAGAACUUCGAGGGUCUGCACCUCCCUAUUGCCAAAAUGGCCCCUUCCCAGUCAAAUCCUCAGAUGCCCCUCAAUCUUCCCAUCUCUCCCCUAUUUAUUCUUAAAACUUAACCUCCCACUACUGACUUAAUUAAUUAUUAAUCAUAAUAUAAUAAUAAACCAUAACUGCAUAAUUAACUACUAUAAUUAUAAUAAAACUGACACAAUUCUAAUAAGAUAUCUAACACCUAACAAGUGGUUGGAAGUCGAAUCUUGGCUACAACAAACUGAAAAUGACCAAAUUCAAGAUGGAAGAGACCGAGAGGGGUUUGAGAGAGGGGUGGGUGAUGUUUUGGAAGGAAUGGGGAAUCAAACCAAUGCUUCGGGUUAAGCCACAGAGAAGGAGAAUAUCUAUAGGGAAUGGAAAACCAGACCCAUGACAUACAUAGAGAAAGACAAUAUCUUUGGGAAUAUAACGGAACUAGGCCCGUGCCUUUGGCGGUUGCACAUACAGGAGGCGGUACAAAUGAGGAAUACUGGGUUGUGGUGUGCAUUAAAUCUGGUUCACAUGAACCAUAACUGAAAAUUCAGUGAACUAAUUUAAAAAACUCAAACCAUUAUUUACAGAAACCAACCCAGUCCACUUGCAAACUCUCUUCUUCAAGAACCCCCUUACAUUAGAAAUACCAUUCCAUCAUACUUACCCAGCCAUAUGCAUCCUCUCCAAAAUUGGCAAGGGUGAGUUUCCAACACUUUUCUCAAGUUGGGGACUACCGUUCUUUCAUUUUUUUACUUCCUUUUCCCCAAAGCUCUCCUCUCCUCUCCCCAGCUCCCCUCAUAAACUCCCAUACAUAGCUUAAGUGACUCGAUUCAUUAAUUAGUAGUUACAGUGUGUACAAAAUAAUAGGAUGGAAAAAGAGGGAAGUAACAAUUUCAUUUGAUAGUGUUGGGAUCUUUUGGGUUUUUAGAGGCGUAGACCCUCAAAAUUCUGCAUGUUUCCGUCCUCAUAAUCUUUGGAGCAUCGCUCCUGUUAGGAACUUUAGUCAAAAGGGUCCAUGCUUAUUUCAUUGAACAUGCAUUUCACUGUGAAAGGUUGCCACCUAUGUAAUAUUUUGCAUCUUGACUCUAAAUCGGUGAAAUUGUUACUGUGCAUGUUGCUGUGUGUAUGAAAUUUAUUUAUUUAUAUAUUUUUCAACAGGUCCCUUGCUGCUUUUAAGCAGCUCAUUUCAUUGGUUCAUUAUAUCAUAUUCCUUUCUGAUGCAUGUUUUUUAAUCAAUUAUCAAACUUGUGCAGUUCAUGGAUCUUCUGGAAGAACAUCCUAAGUUGCGAUUGUCGAAAGCUAGUGUUACACAUCGAGGAAAGAAUCUGUAUAUGCAAGCUCCCCCUGUAUUGGAGGAAAUGACUCGAUCAAACCUGACUCUAUCUCUUUUUAACCUCAUGGGUAAAUUGCCCAAGGACAUUGUGCAUGUGAAUGGGAUGACAAGCAAGAAUGACCAAAAAACCUCAUGUUUGAGAAAAUUACGCGUUGUUUUCAAGGGAAUUGAUGGGGUUACAGAUAUGGAUACUGCUGGAGGAGCAUAACUUAGGAAAAUGUUCUGGCUUUAUAAGCACAGGUUAAUGUUAGAUAUCACAGCUUGUUUCCAAUAUUAGUGAGGUAAGAUUAACAAUUUCUACUAUGUAAACGUCAGUAACAUCGGAUGCUGCAAAUUUGGUUGUCCCACAGGGUGAUGAUUUUUGAUAAUUCCAUUUUGUAAUGUGCACCUAGAUUGAUGGAAGCACAUUAGACCAUGGAUUGCUGAAAUAUUUCUCACUACACGUGUUUCAUUUCGCUAUAUCAAUUAUUAUUAUUUUUUUGAAGGAGGGUUAUUAUCAAUUUAAUUUGUGCUAGAGAAAUUAGGAUAUUUGUAGAGAUUUGUAAACAAUGAAUGAUUAUGCAUAAAUCAUAUAGACAUAUGAACCAAUCUAUAUCUAUAUUUUUUUUUUUUUUGGUACACCAAUCUAUAUCUAUAUUAUAUACAAUUGAGAAUGAUUUACAAUGACCAAAAUUAAAUGCUUCUCUUCUCUUGGUCAUCCACCUAUUUUGCCACGUGGCACUCAAUCAAAAAACUUAUUUCAAUUAAAGCUACAUCACACAUUUUCAUUAGACCUUAAAGCAUCAAUGCUUCAUUCUAAUUUUAACAAAACUAAUUAUAAAAGACAUUAAGUAUUAAAUGGUAUAUAACUUUUUUUUUAUUUUUAUUCUUUAUUUGAACAAUCAAAACUAAAUAUUUGAACUAAUUAUGUUUCUUUGCUGGUGAUAAUUUUACUGUUCUAACUAUAUAAAUAAGUGUUCAAUUUAAUUUAAAAAAUAUGACCAUUGCGUGAAAAAAUGAAAAGUAUCAAAAACAUAUUUUUUAUUUCUUAAGUUCUGUCAAAAAAAAAAAAAGAUGAUUUCUUAAAGAAAUUAUAAAUGAGUUUUUUCAUCCUAACUAAAAUAUACAAAUUUAAUAUUAUGUAACACAUAAAUAUCUAAAUAUGAAGCUUGUCCUAAGAACAAAAUAUAAUUUUCUAUAGCUCACACCGGAAAAUAUUUAAGUUUGUAAAAAAAAACAGCAAAAUAUUUAUAAAAGAAAAUGCAGUCAACAAAAAAUUAAAUGAUAGUACUUGAUUUGAAUUACCAAUUAAUAUUCCUUAAAACCAAUAAUUAAAACCAAUUAAUUUGUUAGAUUUUCAGAAUGUCAAAUUCUAUAAAUCACAAACUGAAAUUUGUGUUGUAUAUAGACGGAAUGGUAUAGUGCAUACAUCACAUAUUAUUAAUAGUUUUAAAUGUCUUGAAUUAGUUCUCAAUUUUGAACCAGUUUUGGGCACUAAAGUCUGGUAUUUUCAGCCUAUAAAUAGAGGCAACUCAAAUGUGAAAAAAGUACAUAAUUUUUCCUCAGCUCCGUAGAAAAAACUAACAUUAGUAUUUUGAGUACUAUCACCAGCUAUCGUGUUGUUUUUAUAUUCUUUAUUAUAUUUACUUAUUUUGUUGAUUAUUUUAUUUCGAUAUGUUUUUUUUUUUUUAAUUUGGCAACCAAGACUUUCUUGAAUUUAUUCAUCUGAAUUUUGUUUUUCAAACAUAAAACACGUUUUCUAAUAAAUGGAUUGCGUCUGAUAUAAAGGAAAACUUAAAAAAAUGGCAAAUUAAAGGAAAACUUAAUACCUUAAUUUCAUAUACUAUGUAUACUUUUGUGUCUCAUAUAUUUCUUUUGUAAAUGCUUCUCCAUUACUUUUGAUUCAAUACUGUCAUGAUUUUCAGCAUCACAUUCACGGGCUUUGCUUAGGAUUACUUUUUUGUUUUUUAAAAAAUACUUGUGAUUACUUUUUGAUAGCGAGGAUUGUUUGAAUAUAAUUGUGCAUAUACUGUAGGAAGUAUACCUUUGAGUAUUCCUUCUCGGAAUAUUCCUCCUUCAGUGUAUAUACUACUCCUUUUAUACAUCGUACAAUUGGUAUGGUAUAUUUCAAUGAAUAACUAUCAUUAUCCAACUCUUCUCCUUGCGCCCAAUAUGAAAUUGCCCAAUUCAUUAUCUAGCAUUAAAAACACUUGCUAAUAAUUUAAAAAUUUGAGUAUUCUAAUUUUUGAAAGAUGGGUUAUCCAUCAUUUUUCUAAAUUUAAGCAUUUAAAAAUUUUAGUUUUCUAAUUUAAGCACUUUUCAAUUUUUUUUAAGGUUGAUAAUAAUUAAUAUAUUUUGUUUUUAUUUUUAAUCUUUUGUUUUAACGGUUUUUUUCAUUUAAACAUAUUCCAAUUCUAGAAUAGAAUAUUAAAGAUCAUUGUAAAGUCAUUAGUCCAAAUCUGACAUCUUUCAUUUAAGAUUUGUCUUAAUAUUUUAGGUUUUGAUAUUUUUUCUUCUUUUUUAUUUCAAGUAAUUUUUUGUUUUAUUUUUGUGUUUUUGGUUUGAAACAAGAUAAAUUAUAAUACAUUAUUUAUUUUAUGAACUCAAGUAUAAGAUCUUACUAAAUAGAACAAUAUUUGUGUCGAAAAAAAUAUAGAAUGAUUAUAAAGUGGUUAGUGGAUUUCAUCAAAAGACAAAUGGGUCGAAAGAAUCUUUUAUAAUACAUUAUUUAUUUUAUCAACUCAAGUAUAAGAUCUUACUAAAUGAACAAUAUUUGUGUCAAAAAAAUAUAUAGAAUGAUUAUAAAGUGGUUUGUGGAUCCCACAAAAAGACAAAUGGGUCGAAAGAGCAUAAUUUUGAUUUUUAAGUUGAAUAAUUUUCGAUCAAGAUUUACUUUUUGGUUGAACUCCAGAUUUCAAGGACCCCUACUCCGUAUACAUUGAUGGGUUUACAGAAAAAUAACUUUAAACCCAAAUUUUUUUUGGUGUAAAUAGAUAAUCUUCUAUAAUCAAUGUAAUUUAUCAUUUCAUUAAAGGUGCAUCCUAUUUCAAUGCAUAUAGGAUUCGGUAUUGCUAAUUAGUGCUGAUGAUUACUUUUGAUUGGUAACUUAAAUUCCAUUUAAUUGGCGUAUUAUUGCUAAUUGGUUUUGAAUUUUCUUUGCACUCUAAGAGGGUAAUCACAUCCUAUAAAUAUAUAAGAAACAAAUGUGAGAAGACAUUUGGUAAACUCCUCUUAAUAAAAAAAAUAAAAUGGAUGUCUUUGUCUUUUAAUUACUAUCCCUACGUGUUUUUUUCUAUUUAUUUUUCCAAAUUUAUUGAUUUGCAACAUGAACGCUAACUCAAAUGUCGUAGUGUCAUGAUUUCUAAAAUCAUAGACUCUACUUGGGAUUAUUUUGUUAUGCCGAGGAUUGUUUGAAUGUAUCUUGUGACUAAAAUAUUAAAAUUUCAUGAGUCACACUCAUUUGAAAUGGUCUUAUUCGAUGUUUGAGGUUAUCAUUAAUUUGUUGUUUUUAGUGUUCUUUUACUAAAUUCAAAGUGUUUCUUGAUAAAUCUAAUUUUCGAUUUUGAUUUUUGAUGCCUAGCGAAACCAAAUUCAAGCGAAAAAGAGGCUCACAUACAUGUUUAUAAAACAAUUGAGAGAAUGUGUUGUUAAGAACACGUGAGAAUGUCAUGCUAUUACUUAGAGACAACUUCAAGAUAGACAAAGUGCAUCACAUUAAAUUUACAAGGGUUGACAAUAAUGAUUUACCAUGAAAUUUGUAUAAUUUCACUCCACGGGUUGGUAUCUUCCAAGAUGAAGAUGAUUUUGACAUAGAUUUGUUGGUUGGUGAAUUUGUUUAUAUAUUAAAAAAAUUAAACAACUUCAUCGUAAUAAUAUAAAAUAUCACACUACAAUAAUAUUGUUUAUUCUACUCAGGCGUUAUUGGUUUACUAACUGCUAUUGAAAAAAAAAGAGAAAAUAUGUUAGAAAUAACUUCAAAGAAAAAAUUGUUGUCGUAUAGUUAGACAAUAAUAGGUGAACAUUUUUCGUUAUUGAAAUAGUCCAUCAACAUAAUCAAUUUAUGGGUGGCUUCCAGCAAAACCCAUAUAUAUAUAUAUAUAACAUGUUUUUUUUCUUCAGUUCAAUUGAUUUGGGUUACAAGUAGGUGUUUUUCUAAUAGAUUUCUUUUCUAAUAUUUUAUUAAAAAAUAGCAUAGCGCACUUGGUAUGGUGAUAACCUAUCCACAAGAUCGUGUGUUCAACUCCCAUUGUCAAUGUAAUGAUCUCUUUGAUGGAUGGUAUGAAAGUAUCUCUACUAACGUUCACUGAGCCUUGAGCCCUACCCUGAUAAACCUUUGAAGCACAAAACGAUAAAAUAAUUUAAGUGAUUGAAAACAAUGGAAUAAAAAAAUCACUUCAAAGAUAUGUAUAUUCCCUUAAUCUACAUAUAUUUUACUUAUUAUUUUUAACAAAUAUUAUCACCAUAAAUUAAAAAAUAUAAAAAAAAAAUCAGCACAAAUUUUCCCGUGCAGGGCACGUGUUUGAAACUAGUAACGAGUUAUGCAAUAAACCAGGAACGUUCAAACGCAUGAUUAUGGAAUUCUGCCCAAAAACGAUGACAUGCAUCUUUACAAAAGAGUGGCUUCAUCACUAUCAAUCAAAGAAUUUGAUUUGGUUACAAAUAAAGAACCCUUUAUUCUUGCUCAUUUCAAUGUUUAAGAUAAACUUUUUUUCCUCUCAAACCAUUGAUCCAUCAUCACUCGUCGAUAGGAGUUUUCAAACUUCUAGGAUGAUAAUUUAUUCUUGGAGACUUGUUGAAUCAAGGGUGUUCUCAUACUCACAUGUUAUACCUUGAGUGGAGGCGGAGAUACUUAAACCAUAUGAUAACCACGGUUCCUCCACCUCCAAGAUAGGAGGAGUAUGAUCCCCUAGAGUCUAGGCCAAUACACCAACAGGUACCUGCCUGAACAAUGAAUUUAGCAUUUGAAAUGCUCCUCCACAUAUAAAACUUGGAUUCUGACCAAGUGAAGCCAUCAGAAAUAUCUUGCUUUAAAUUAUCAGGUCUGAAUUUCUCUGGAAUUUCCGUACUUAUUUAGCAAACUAUGUGUUUGGUUCUGAAUGUAUGGUUGUAAUUAGCAUUCAUCAUUUAGUAUUAGUACGACAUUGCUGGGGGCUGCGUGCAUGUGUAUCACAUCACAUUAAAUUAAUUUCAACACAAAAAGGAAUGAAUGUUUUAAUAUAAAAUAAUUUCAAGACCAUUAAGAGCAUUGAGUCUUGUAAAAAAAAAAGAGCAGAAUUGAGUUUGGCGGGAUAAUUCCAUGAUUACGCGAAUUAAUAAAUAUUAAUGAUGGUGAUGAUGAUACACGGUAACACGGAAUAAACAUUUUUGAAAAAGCUCAAAUCAAUAUUUUUUAAUUAAGUUCAGUUAAUUGUAGAUUGAUUAUGUGAUUAUAUGAGAUGAAAGUUGAUGUGAUUAACAUCAUUAUUAUGUUUUAUAAGGCUUAAAAACAUUAAGUUUAGUUAAUUGUGUAAACAAAUAUUUAGUUUAUUGAAUAGUUAUAUAUAACUUUUUUAAUGGGUCCUGCUAACCGGUGUUCCGGAGCACUGGUUAAGUAUACCAUAAAAAGGAAUUAUACCAUAAAACGAAAUUGUUUUUGACUUUAUUAUAAAUUAAUUACACAAUUUCAAUACAUUAACUGCUAUAUAAUUUCCUUUUUCAUAUCCUUAACCAGUGCCCCAGAAACAUCGGUUAACAUUUCUCUUUUUUAAUUGAUGAUUCAUUUUAUGAACCAUUUAAGUUGGCUUGGUCUCUUUUGGUGCAGUGUGGCUUAGUUUUCCUAAUAUCUUCCAUUACAUUAUUCUUUUUAUGAAAAUUACUAAUUUAUAUUGUCCAUUCUCCCAUGUUUUUUUUUCUCACUAUUAAUUAAUACAUUUCUUCCCAUGAUUUACCUUUCUCCGUGAUUCAACCUUAAUUAAUCAAUAUACAAGAAAAAACUAAAACACAAUUCAAUUAAAGAAUAGGAGAAACAGAUUAUGAAUCACCAUAUACCAAAAGUGGGAAAUGGGUUGGAUUUAUAUAUGUUUGGUCAGUCCGCAUGCCUCUACGCAUGAGCCGGAUUAGUCGCCCAUCAUUGGUGGGUCGGAAACCGGCGUGAAAGAAAAAAAAAGUGGGAAAUGGGAAUUGAGCUAAAAUACCUUUUCAAAAAUAUAUAUGGUAAUUCAAUUAAAAAUAUUCAACAAAAACCACUUUAUAUAUAGUAUAUAUUUAAUUUUUUUUUGGAGAGAAUUUAAUACAUUUAUAUAUUUAUAGGGAAGAUGUGAGUAUUUGUGCAGUAUCAAAUUUGUGUGUAUUUCUUUUUCUAAAUUCAAUAAGCAAAAGUGUUAGUAUCUUUCAAGGGUGAAAUGAAAUAGAGUUUGAUUUGAGGAAGAAAGGGAUUAUACAAAUGGUUGUGAAUGGGGGGAUCCUUUUUGUUUGUGUUGUGCUUCUCAUGGCAAUCGAGGUUCCUAGAGCAGCUGCACAAAUGGGUCAAAUUCCAGGUACUUUUCUUCUAUGUCAUUGUUACUUUACUUUUCUUAGUUCUUCAUUUUUUUUUGCAUUGUUCUUUUUUGUUAACAUUAGAACAAACAUGUGUGUAGAUGAUUCAUUGACACUAAAUCUUAACCAUUAGAUCUAAUUAAUUCAUCGACCAACAAUAUUCUAUCUUUUUAAACAUGAAAACAUAUAGAAGAGAAGCACGACACCAAUGAAAUCACAAAACAUUAUUACAGUAACGUGCGUUUGUUAGGAAUAAAAAAAGACGAUUUUGACAUUUUAUAAUUUAUAAAUUGUAUAAAAAAUUAGAUUCUAUUUUGUGUUUGUUUAUUACAAUAAAAGUGUUUUCUUUUUUCAAUUGAUUUUUACAAAAGUGAUAAUUUUAUCAUAAUAGUGAUUUAUAGUUUGUUUAUUAUUGAAAAAAAAAGUAGAAUAAUUUUAGAUAUGCAACCAUUAGACCUGAAUAAUGAUUUUGUUUGUUUGAAUGAAACUAUAUAAAAGUGAUAUUUUUAUUAUAAAAUUACUUCAAACUUUUGACGGUAAUUUCAUUUAAAGUUUUUUCCUUAUUAUUUUCUUGUCUCCAAAAGUUGUACAAAUAAAUAGAAAUCUUUAAAUGUGAUUAUUAUUAUUUUCUUCUAAAAAAGAGUAACCAUAGUUUUUUUUUUUUUUUGAAGAAGCUAAAAUAGAAUAUAUUACUGAACGCCUGAAUAUUUCAGCACAAGAAGUGCUAAAAAAGAGUAACCAUAGUUUUUUGAUAUUCCAAGUUUCAAUUGUAGUCCAUGUCUGAUUUGAGAUAUACUAUAUCCCACCUAAUGAGGAAAUUCCCCUAACGAGGCUGAGUGUUUUUAUUUACUUUAAUCAUCUAGUUGCACCCAAGUGGAAAAAAAAAAAAAAAACCCAACUCAGAUCCAAGCCGUGGGACAAUUUUUCAGUUGAAAUCCAAUUACGGCACUGUAUUUUCUAAAUAUAGUAAUCAAACUAUUUAGAAUUUCUCAAAAAAAUUAAAAAAAGCAAUUUAAAAGUUGUUGAUAGUUUUGUGAAAAAAACUUCCCCGGCAAUGUUGUGUGACCGACCGUUUGCCAAGCAUUUUUCAUAGAGAUAAACCCGCAAUUCUCUCUCUCUCAGUAGGGACUGAGAAAUUUUGAAUGCCAUUUAAAAAUAGUCAUUUCAAUAUAAUAUUUGAAUUUAUAAAAUUACAAAUGCUUCUUAUGAUUACUUACGGACCCGUCCGAAAAUGCUACAUGAUAUUGUUGCAAGUUAUUAUUAUUGAGAACAAUUUAAGUCGUAACAUUAAAAAUAGAUAAGAUUUGCCACACGUUUCUAGAGAAAAAUACUCUCCGUUUUACGAAUCGAUUUUGUUAAGAAGAGUUAUCUCUAAUAUGAAUACUUCAAUUUGUAAAAUGACCUUAUUAUCUUGGCAUUAACACAUUGUGUAAUUGUCUUACCACAUGUUCUUGUUUAUUAUGCAGAGCGUAAGAAUAUCUUCAAGAAAAUGCGAACUCACUCCCGCCCCAUUGAUACCGUAUUCAAGCUUCCAACUGCAACUACUUCUUGGCCAAAAGGUAUCCAUCAUUUGAUUUCCAUUUUUCUCUCCUUUUAUGAUAUAUUAUAGAGAAUACUCUGAUUAUAACAUCCGUUGAAUUGCAACAUACAGGUAAUGGUUUCGCGAGAGGAGUCCUCGAUCUAGGUGGGCUGCAAGUGUCUGCAGCAUCAACGUUUAACAAAAUUUGGGGCGCCAUUGAUGGUGGACCGGAUGAUAAAGGAGCCUCAGUGUUCGAACCAACAGGAAUACCUCAAGGAUUCUCUAUGUUAGGCAGCUACAGCCAACCCAACAACAAACCUCUUUUUGGGUAUGUUCUUGUAGCAAAAGAUGUUUCUUCAAGCACCACAAAAAGCACAUUAAAGCCACCAAUUGAUUACACAUUUGUAUUGAAAGCUAAAUCCUAUUCAGCUACUCAAGUCUUGCCUUUGUAUAUUUGGCUACCAGUAGCACCUAAUGGCUACCGUGCUUUAGGCCAUGUUGUCACCAAAACACGAGACAAACCUCCCCUUGACAAAAUCAUGUGUGUUAGAUCAGACCUCACAGAGAAAUGCGAAACUUCUUCGUUGAUUUGGGAAUCCGAAGACUUCAAUUUCUAUGACGUUAGACCAAUAAGUAGAGGAACUCAAGCUCGAGGCAUUCAUGUAGGCACUUUUGUUGCACAAAAUGGUAGACUUACUAACCCUCCAUCUAUUUCAUGUUUGAAAAACCUUAAUUCCAUUUCAAAGAUCAUGCCUAAUCUACAACAAAUUAAAGCAAUACUCAAAGUUUACUCUCCAUUUGUAUACCUACAUCCUGAUGAAAAAUACUUACCUUCAUCAGUCAAUUGGUUUUUCUCCAAUGGAGCAUUACUAUACAAGAAAGGUCAUGAGUCAAAUCCUAGACCAAUAGCACAAAAUGGUACUAACCUUCCUCAGGGUCCUAAUCCUAAACAUGACCGCGCCUAUUGGAUAGACCUACCAGCUGAUCAUGCAAAUAAAGAUAGGGUAAAGCAAGGUAAUUUACAAAGUGCGGAAUCUUAUGUACAUGUGAAGCCAAUGUUUGGAGGAACCUUCACUGAUUUUGCAAUGUGGACUUUUUACCCUUUCAAUGGACCUGGAAGGUUAAAAAUAGGGUUUAUAAAUAUUAAAUUAGAGAGAAUAGGUGAACAUGUUGGUGACUGGGAGCAUGUGACAUUAAGGGUAAGUAAUUUGGAUGGUAAAUUAUGGAAAGUCUAUUUCUCACAUCAUAAGACAGGUUCAUGGGUUGAUUCCUCUCAACUUGAAUUCCAAAAUGAUACUAGCAAUAUUGAUUUUCCAACAAAAAGACCUGUUGUUCAUGCUUCAUUGCAUGGCCAUUCAACAUAUCCACAUGCUGGCCUUGUUCUACUAGGGAAAAAAGGAAUAGGUGCAAGAGAUGAUACUGAUAAAAGUAGCAAAGUUAUGGAUAUGGGGAAAUAUGUAUUGGUUUCUGCAGAGUAUUUGGGUUCUAAAGUUAAAGAGCCAGCAUGGUUGAAUUUUUAUAGGACAUGGGGCCCACAUGUUGACUAUAAAUUAGAGGAUGAAUUGAAUAAAUUGAAGAAGUUGUUUCUAGGGAAGCUAAAACAUGUUUUUGAAAAAGUUAUUAGGGGUUUACCAAAAGAAAUGCUGCAAGAGGAAGGACCAACAGGUCCAAAGGAAAAGAAAAAUUGGAAUGGUGAUGAACUUUGAAUUAUGUAGACAUUUCUUUAGUUAUAUUCAUCUGUUUUUUUUUUUUUUUUUUUGACCAAUUUAUAUUAAUCUGUCAAACUUCAAAGUUGUUUGAGAAUAAUGUUAAUUGGUGAAAUUGUAAAACUUUGUGAAGCAAUGAAUAAUAUUGAGGACAAAAUUGUACGAUAGAGUAAACAUCAAUCCAAAUAACAUUAUGUAGAAUCAGAAUCCAAUUAGAAAGCUCUACAAAAUUUAUGGUACAUAAAUGAAACUGAAGAACACAUCAGCAAGCGACGACAUAGUAGACUUGACCACACUCGUAAUAGCGCAGAAAAUCGUAGCUAUGCAGAAAUGCAUAAACCAGAUACACUUAUAAACCAACCUAUAACGCGAAUUAUGCAGUAAAUCAUGAACAUUUAAACGCAACAAUGCAGAAUCGUAUAUAUGGGAAAAUUCACGUAGCAGCACAAAACACAAUUGUAGAAAAAGCGGAAAUGAAAAUAGACAAAAAUAAAAAGCAGCUAAACACUUAACAAAGAAAUUAAAAACAAGAUUGAGAGAAGAGAAGAAUUGAUCAUGGAAUUCUGCCCAAAACUGACGACAUGCAUCUUUAGAAAAGAAUGGAUGUAUCACUAUCAAUCAAAGAAUUUGAUCUGACUACAAAUAGAGAACCUCUUUGUUAUUUCUCAUUUCAAUGUUCAAGAUAAAAAAAAUUCUCUCAAACCCUUGACCCCCCUCAUCAAUGUUUUAAAACCUUGAUCGCUUAUCGACCUGGUCAAGGCCCCAAAUCACUUGAUCAUUAGUAGGUUAUCAACUUGCAUGUUGCAUAUCUGUUCGGCUACUCCACUGAGAGACAUUUUCUUGCGCUCCAAGGGUUGUUUACCGUGAAUUUUUUAAAGCUUGUAGCUUUGUUCCUAUUGCAUCGAAAUUAUGGUUUUGUACCUUGGCCGAGUAUAUUUAUGGUCCAUCGAAACUUUUUUUGAAUGAUAAAUGUUAGUAGUUAAUAUUUUGUCUGGAUUUUAAACGGAACUUCAACCUUUGUUUUUCUUAAAUAAAUUUGUUGUGUAAUUUUGAGUGAUUGGGUGGUGUUUUUUUAAAAAAAAAAAAUUGGAUAAUUAAAAAUAGUAAAAUAUAAUAAGGUUAAGAAUGAAAGAAAAUGUAAAAAAUUAGAGUUAUAAAUUCAAACAUUACUUAAAAUAACAUAUAAAAAAAAGUUAUAAGCUAAUAAGAAAAGUUUAUUUAGCAAACACUUUUCAUUUGAUCAAACAAGCUUAUAUAAGUUAGUUCAAUAAAUUAUUAAUCUAUCUAACCACAAGAAUCAUCGAUUCAACUGUUGGGAUUUUGUAUUAUGAUAUUUUAUCUCACUUUUAUAUGCCCUUCGUCCGUUUCUUAUUCAUCUCAUCACCAAUCACAUCUCAUUAAUUUCUUUCGUCUUCCUCUUCUUUUUCUUUUUUCUUUCUGCCUUUUCUACACCACUACUAAUUGAAGAGAAUCAUUGUUGUUCUUGAACACUAAAAAUUACUCUAAAAAGGUAGUACCAAAUACUUUUUGAUACUAUAUUAGGGUCCCACAACAAGUUGUACAACAUGAAUAUCCAGUGACCGUAACACAUAAUAGGACUUGUCUCGGUGGUUUAAUCUUAACCGCUAGAGGAUACAAAAACAGAUAAGAACUUUGAGACAAAAAUUAAUUGUCACCUAUGCAAGGGCCAGUGGUAUGAAUAUGAUGAGCCAUAACUCAUAAACAAUUCACAACCAAGUAUUGUAUAUUCUCAAGAUUGAAUCUAUCUUUGGAUUAGAUAUCAGGAAAUAGUUGUUCCUUGCUGUCCUCAUCUCUUUCUUUUACUCAACUAGAUAGAUAACAAUAUCACAUAUUCAUUCACAACAUGAUUCUAGCUAGUUAGUGGGAGAGUUUGUAGGUCCCACUGGUACCAUAUGACCCACCAACUCACAUGCAUGCCCACUCCAUACAUUUCAACUCACCUUUUUUGUUAACCUUAAUAAUUCUUCCUUUUGUUAUCAAAGCUAUAUAUAUAGUAUAUCUUUGGGACAACACAUGAGAAAAAAAAAACAUCAAAGUUGAGAAAAGAGAUUAGCAUGUUAUAACUAUAAACUAGAAUAUACUUUGUUUCAUGCCAAAGUAGAUAAUUUUUUAAGCCUAUAACAAGAUUGAUUAUACACAAAUAUGGAGGUUGCUGUUGAACUUGAAGAUGAUUUGUAUUUUGCAGACUUAAGCAAGCAAAUUUCACUCUUAAUUAUGGAUGAAGAUGAAGAUCCUCUUACUUCUCAUCCUUCACACUCUCUUCAGGUUUUUACUCGCACCUUUUUGAUACUACUUCGCCACAUAAUCAUGCAUUUAACGUGACACAAUUUGGACAGUCAAAUUAAAUUUAAACUUCCAACUUUACUAAAUUGAGUCCAAAAUAUAAAGUUGGAAUAUGAACCGUCUUAUCUUACCGAAUAUGUACGAUCAUAGAUAAUUCAAAUUCAACAUAUAUCUCAUGGGAUAUUGCUAUCCCGAAAUUCAUGAAUACUAUAUAUUACGACUCACUCACUUUCCGACUCGAGUCUAAAAUAUAAAAUUAGAGCAUGAAUUGUCUAAUCUUGAUCCGACGGUCUAAAUGUGAACAAUUUAAUUCAAAUUCCACAUAUAUUCACACUAAACAAUUUCCAAUUAUGGUAUUGACCAAAGAGUGAUUUUAUUCAUUAUGCUAACGAUAAUUAUGAUCUUAAUUAAUAUUCUUAAACAAAUUUUCAGUCUUUCUCUGGAGCAAUCCAUCCUCCUCCACAGUCAAAUUUCCUGUACGAGCAAAUGGCUUUGAGAAGACAAAGCAAAGGGACAGGUGUGUUUAUCCCACAGUCAACAACACAACCAAGAAGGAAGCACAGAAAAGGAAGAUCUUCUUCAUAUGCAAAAUGUCAAAAACAAUCUCAAGAUACAACAAGAACGGUUUCUCAAAAUUCUUUUAAACCUAUAAAUAAUGGUUGAGGAUACAUACAUGUGUUGAUCCUUCUUCAAAACAGCAUGAUUUUCUACAUCAUUAGUUACUUUGCCAAGUAUGAAUAAUUCUAUAGAUGGUUAAUUUCAAGGAUUUAUAUAUACAUAGGCCAUUAUGUACAUGGGAAUGCCAGUAUUAUUUUAUUAGUCUUAUUAUAGCAAAGGUCCCUGCAAGGUUUAUUCUGUAACACUUCACCGUGUGGGGAAGUUUUUAUCUAGUUUGAUAAGUUUUUUUUUUUUUUUUUUAUUAUUAUUAUUUUUUUUAUCUAAUUGUAUUGUAAUAUAUAUGAUGAUGUAUCCACUUAAUUGUAAUAUAAGCUUAUUCCACUUAAUCUCUACAACUAUGUGUUUGGUAAGAUGGAAGUUCAAAGAAACAUCAAAUCAAUUCGUACUGUAUGCAGAUAUUUAUUUGUUUUCACUAGAUUCCUAUAUGUCCUUGUAACUAUUCUUCAAAUAGAAGUUUAGUCCAACUCCUUGUAUGAAUGAAAAAAAUACAAGACUAUUACCUUUUUUACU
rnacentral:lncRNA from 1 species